CCUCAUCCCACAUGAUGCAUCAGAUUGAUCCAAGAGCAACCGUGUUUUUCGUUUUAGAUGAUCUCAAGUUAGGCAAAACAUUGAGUAUCCUUUUCCCUGACGGAGAUCCUAGUCCUUUGUCCUCUCCUUAUCUCUGGCCUAGAGAACAAGCCGAUGCUAUCCCCUUUUCAUUGGCAAAACUCCCACAGAUUCUUCAACACUUUUCAUUCCCUCAAGGAUCUCGCAAAGCCCAAGUGAUGGAACAUGCACUCCGAGCAUGCGAGACUAAGCCUAUGAAGGGAGAACCCAAGGCUUGUGCCACAUCCUACGAGUCAUUGGUAGAUUUUGCACGAAAGAUCUUGGGAUUGAAUACCGACAUUGAAGUUUUAUCAACGCAUCGCCUCACAAAAUCUAAUGCUGCUAGAUUACAGAACUAUACAAUCACAGAAGCUCCUGAACGAAUUUCAACUCUAAAGAUGGUUGGCUGUCACACCAUGCCAUAUCCUUACAUAGUUUUCUAUUGCCACUAUCAGCAGGGUGAUAAUCGUUUAUACAGGACUGUUCUAUCUGGAGAGAAUGGUGAUAGGGUUGAAGGCCUUGCAAUAUGCCACAUGGAUACCUCCCAAUGGAACCAUGAUCACGUUUCCUUCCAAGUGCUUGGUAUCGAACCGGGCACAGCCCCUGUUUGCCAUUUCUUCCCAGCAGAGGACUUUGUAUUGGUUCCAUCUACUUCUUCAAUCUAGUGAUAUCCAAGAGCUCAAGUGCUUUCAGCAUUUUAGUUGUUUAGCUCAAGUCACCUUGUCUGAAUGUGAAAUACUAUAAAUCACUAAAUUCGUGUGCCUCAUGUUUGAUCCUCUGUAUUCGAAUAAAACUCCGUGGUGCAGUAGCGCUACUUUUGGCAAUCAAAGUUUUAUAUGCUUCAAUUUCUUAGAGCAUCUCGAACACGAUGUUACUAGAUUGCAGCCUACAACCUUUUUUUCCUUAUUUUCUGCUAAGGUAGAAUUUUUUUUCUUGGGGCGGAGGUUUGUUAGGAGAGUAUCAAUUCAAACAAUUUACUUAGAGGACUAAUUUUCAGGAGCCUGGAUUAGAAUGUUAUGUUUAAUUGGAGAACAAGUGCUUAUCUCUUCCUAAUUAGUCACCAAUUAGUCGCUUUAAGCAACUUCUAGGAGGAUGUUGAAACAAUUGAUAACUCUUCAUUAUAAUCUAUCAGUCACAAAAAAAAUUGUCUAAUGAAAAUCUCGCUUGUUAAGAAUAGUAUAUUAAUUCUUGUCUUCUCAACUUAUCUGGCAAAUUCAACAUCUGAAUGGUUACUACAUGUCAUCCACAAAAAGACAAUGAUUAAGAAUAGACAAAUAGUAAAAAUAACAAGCAUAUGAACCUUUUUGAAAUGACGAACAUUGUGGAGGAUACAAAAAUGAAUGACACUUUUACUGGAGGGAAAGAAGUUAAAAUUUAAUUUUGUGAUCGGCAUAGCUCUUAUUUUGAGUUAAAUAUAUAUUGAUUCCACCAAUAAUGUAUCCUAUUAAAAGUAAACAUUUUAUUCUCACUAUGGUAAAAUGGCAAACAUCCGUGUGUACAUUGAUUGAUAUGUAGACAAUUUUUGGGACUAAUACAUAGCAGAGUUUUGAAAUUCAAGUUGAGACAUCGACUCAAUCGAAUUUAGGUUAGGAGUCAAAAGGUUAAAGUGAGUGAUGUGAGUAUGAAUCCUUAGUAUGUGAGUAAUGAAUCCUUAGUAUCAUGCCCUUUCACAUGUGUGGUUAUGUGAGUAAUGAAUCCUUAGAAUCACCAGUUAUAAUGAAUCCUUAUCCACAUUUAAUUGACUUCAUAUUUCAUACCCACAGAUAAUCAAAGAUAUAACUGGGUGAUUCACGAGUUGAUAGAGUGUUUCUAAAUGAUAGUUGCACCUCUUCAUCACGUGAUUCUGGUUGCUGAUCAGAAUCCAAUCUUCUUCCAAUAGCUUCGUUUGGUUCAGAUUGUGUCUUUCUUGUGCCUUUCAAUCUUUACAAUUUAAUAAUUGUUUCUUAGAUUAAUAAUCGUCUUUCUAACACCAUUUUGUUGAAAAAGAGGUACCAAGAAAGACAAACAGAUAAUAGAGUAAAGCUCUGUUUGAAUGGGAGUGUUUUUCAAAAAGUAGUUUUUCAAAUACAAUAAAUUUUUUUAAAAAGUAUUCUAAAAGGUAAUCUAAAAAUUAGUUUAAUUUUUUUAAAAAUAUCUCAAAAUAUAUUUUAGAAAUUCUUCUACUCUUAAAUAUCCCAAAAUAUAAUCUAAAAACACUGCUACAGCAAAAUUUUUUAAAAACACCCCAAAAAACAGCUAAUCCCAAAAGUUUUUCUUAUGUAGUAGCUGGACUUCUUGAUCGCAUAAUUGUGGCUGUCCAUCUCUUUGAUUUGGAUUCCGAUCUUAUUCAAAUACUUUUGGAGGGGUAUCCUAUAAUUAGAGUGUCAAUCACAAACUUAAUUUAUGUUGAUUCGCCCAUACUCGCUCACCAAUAACCCGUUCGAAUCCAUCCACUAAUUUUAAAUAGGUCUAAAUGGGUAUCCAAUUAAACUUAUUUAAUUAGUAGGCAGUGGAUUAACUCGAAUCACUUAUUUAUACCCAUUUAAAAUAAUUAUACAUUUAAACUCAAGUAUUAAACAAAUAAAUUUAAAUUUAUUAUCAAUCUAAUAACAAUAAAAUACCAUUAUUUUUUAUCAGAUAACAUGUGAAAAAAUAAAGAAAAAAUUAAUUAUAACUAUUUAAAUUCGUUUAAAUCACCUAUUUUGACACCUCUGACGACCAUUGUCUGCUCAUUGGACAUUCCACCGCCACUAGUGCCGUUGCCAGUGUCUAUCAUUUCCGAUUACCAGGUAAGGCUCUGACAUAACCACUGGGUCUUUGGCUCAGUGACCACCACGAACCUUGCCUCCCACCAAAAAUGCCACAUUUUUAUGGCUUGUCUCCAAAAAAUCCAGGCGGGUGUGCUAUGCACCCGUCUGGUUCGGUGGUGGUUCAAUCCCCUCCGGCUUAUCCCUGGACCUCCUUAGGCCCGUUCCCUUCCCCUUAGUGUAUGAUAGAUUAGAUUUAUCGUCUCCAGAAAAAAAAAAAAAAAAGGGUAAGGCUCUGACAUUAGUGUCCACCUGCCAUAGUGCCAUCCCAUUGAUUAACCAAGUUACAGCGCUGUCAUAUUUGUCAAGCCAUCCUUCAUUAUUGGAUCUUUUAUUCUAUAUAUGGGACCGUCCUUACUGUUCCCAUGAAAGAUUGGUUCAGAAAUGUAUGGCAGCUGUGAAAUACGUUAGCUCUCUGAAUCUUGUCCCAUAAAGAUAUGUAGCUGAAAAUCCGAACGCAUUGGUUUCACGAGAGUUUUCUUAUCCACCGUGCCUGCCAAUUUUCUAUCACCAUAUAACAGCGUUUUUAAACUAUACGGACUGACCGAUUCUAAACAUUGAACCGAGGGUCCGGUGGUUCAGUCCGAGUUAAUCAAUUGAGUUGAACAGACAUUUACUGGACCUGCUCAGAAAUUGGGUUUAAAUAAAGAAAAUUGAGUUUUUAACUAUAUAUUUUGUGAGACUAUGAGCUGGUUUAGAUUGUAAUUAUUGGGAAGUUUUAUAGAAAAUAAUUGUAUUUGUGGUUAACGAGUGGAUAAAAGAAUCGAGUGUUUCCUAAUUGAUGAAGGAUAUAGUUAUUCUUACGAAGUGGCUGCACCUCUUGAUCACAUGAUUAAUCUGGUGGUUAUCGAUCUCUUUGAUUUGGAUUCUAAUCUUAUUCAAACAUUUUUUAUUCUUUCAGAUUAUGUCUUUCUUGUGCAUUUCAAUCUUUACAAUUUAAUAAUUGUUUCUUAGAUUGGAUUUACAUGUUUAGUUUUGGAAAGGCCCCCUGAUCUGGAUUUGAGGCCUGACGAGUUGUAUUUCUACUCAAUUUUGGAUAUUUAGUAAUUUUAUAUUUUGUUACACCAUUGUUUUUAAGAUUGGAUUUUGAUUCUUUUAGAUUAUGUCUUUUUUUUGCAUUUCAAUCUUUGCAAUUUAAUAAUUGUUUUUUAGAUUGGAUUACAUGUUUAGUUCUGCAGAGGCCCCCUAAUCUCGAUUCGAGGCCUGACAUGUUGUAUUUGUACUCGAUUUCGAGAAGUUAGCAAUUUCAUAUUUUAUUACACCAUUGUUUCUUAGAUUGGAUUUUGAUUCUUUUAGGUUAUGUCUUUCUUGUGCAUUUCAAUCUUUGCAAUUUAAUAAUUGUUUCUUAGAUUGGAUUUACAUGUUUAGUUCUAAAGUGGUCCCAUGAUCUCGAUUCGAGGUCUUCCAAGUUGUAUUUCUAGUUUUUUUUUUUUUUAAAUAGGGAUGCCAUCCCUUAAUUUAUUUAUAACCGAAAAAGAGUACAUCAAAUUAAAGAGAGCCAAACCUAACCUCUGUUAAAGGAAAAGAAACAUCUAAUGAUAAAAAAUAAAACGCACAUAUGAAGGAAUUUUAAAGACAUACUAGAUCAAUCCAAAGAAAUCAUCCACACGAAGGUGCCCCACAUUUGUGUGACUGCAAGUGAGCAUGGGGAUUUGGUUUGAGAUCUUGACGUGUUUGCAUUGUUUUACCUUUUUUUGAAAGUUGUUUUCUCGCUUUCUUUGAAAUCACUUGGGUAAAUUGCUCUUGAACUAGGCUCUGGUCUUGAUCUUUGUGUUUUUCGCGUUGUGAAUCGUCGUCUUCUUCUUCAUUUUUGUUGUCAUUGCAUGUUAUACUUGAACGAAUAAAAGGAAUUUGAUGUGGUCGGGAAACUGUACCAUGUAAUUUUUCCCAUUUAAUCUCAUCGAACACAUCUUUGAAUUGUGGCACUGGAUUUUGAGGCAUUGUUGUUUUCGUUUCUGUUCGUGUACUUGUACUCGUAACCACAAGGGGUGGUACAUCCACAACCCCACACAAGGCACCAUAAAGAAUUUCGGGCUCAGUGGUGUUGACCUUUUGAUGAUUAUCAUCUCCCAAAUUCUGCUCCUCAAAAGCUUGGGACCCCUCACUUUUGUUCCAAAUAGAAUUGUCGGCAUUUUGAUUUCUCAAUGAAGUAUUGUCGGCCAUUUGCUGCUGACCAUCUCCCAAUAUUUGCUCCACUAAAAUAUGGGACCCCUCACAAUCAUUCCCGUGGUCAUGGACUGCAAAUUGAUCGAAUGGUCCCUCCCUUUCAUCAUCAGCAACGGACUUUGCUUUUGCAACAGUUUCGGCAGCUUCUGUUUGUCGUCCAUCCUUGACAGCUUCUUCCUUGCAGCUCUCCCCUGGCACAACAGCCCCCUCUUGUAUGGGCUCCACCAUGCCCGGGCCAACUGCCACGUUCAGCUCCCCCAACACCAACUCUCCAGUAUUAACAGUCCCUUCCAGCACUUCCUCUGGUUCGCCAAUCACGCGGUCAGACAUAGCGUGAAGAAUGGCAUCAGCAGCAGCCUCUAUCCCCUUCUCCACGAGCGCAACCGAAGAUCCUCCAAGCUGGUUCAGUAAGCACGACGCAUCUCCCACAGCAGUAGUAGGGGUGUCAACGUGCCGUGCCCCCUCGGAUUGGCUCUCACCCGAAUUCUGUGUCGCACCAGAUUGCACCAUCUCCUUCAAUCACCACCCUUCGCUCCUCACCCUCUAUACCCAGGGUAUUAACCUGCGAGGAAGAAAUAUCCCCGCCCGAAUUCUGCGUCACACCAGCCUGCACCGCAGCGCCUUCACUCACCACCCUUCGCUUCUCACCCUCUAUACCCUGCAUGUUAGCCUGUGAGGAGCGAACCUUUGCGCCCAUCACCCCUGCGACCAGACCCCCCUGCGUCUUGGGCAAGCGCAGAUCAGGGUGCUUCACACGGCACUGAUCCUCGCCAUGCCCUUGACGAUAGUGUAGACAAUGGAAUUACCAUUGGUCUAUAAAAUAUUUUUGUCUAAUCGGAUAUUGCCAUAGGGCAUGUAUACUUGGAAAAUUGGUUAUUAAAUGACCAAUUAUAUUUUGCCACGUGUCAAGGCGAGGUGUUCCAAACCAAUUCAAAUCGCAGGGGUAUCUUCACCAACUAAAUCAUAUCAUAUCACAUACCUAUUGGAUAAAUAUCUAAGUAUUUAUUUCUUAUUAAAGGGAUAAUAUUUAGAGUUAUUUAAUCCAAGUAUACCUCUUAUAUACUGCAGUAGCUUGGCCAGUCAAGCGGUGCCACGUCACGUGUCCCCACAAGUUUGGCCAAUCGAUAAAUUACUUAUCUCUUUAUUAAUAAAUAUAAAAUGAAGAGAUAAUAGUUGACUAGCACAGUCCUAAUAUGACUGCACGUCUUGCAAGACAAGUGGAGCGGUACACAGGUUCUCAACCUCUACCUCUUACUACAACUAUAAAUAGAGGUCUCUUAACCAAAUCAAGGACACACACACGGACACACAGAGAUAUCAAGAAGCAUCUCAUACACUCAAGUAUUGAAGCUUCAAGCUACGAAGGUCUGGGUCUCAAAGCUCCUCAAGUCUUCCGCAUAUCAAGGCUUGAGCCUUCAAGUAUUUUCAAAUCCUUCAAAUCUUCCAUAUCAAGAUUUGAAGGAGUCGGUGGUUGAUCCAAGAACAAGCUGCGAAGCCCUUGGAUUGGUGUUCGAGGAGAAGAAUCGAAGGAAGCUCUCCAUAAGUCCGAGAAACUUCCAGAGAUUGUACCUACAUAUUUUUUCUAAGUUUAUAUAGUACAUAUUUGUCGUGUAUUUCUUUUUCUUGUCGUUUUGCAGACUUGAAAUUUUUAUCGCGUACAAAUUUUUGGCACGCCCGGUGGGACCAUCUCUGCCUUCCAUCUCUUCUCCUCGAAAAUUCGACUACGUAUAUCACCAAUGGCACCAAAGAGCGACAAAAUCAUGAUUGCACGUUCCAAGGCUAUUGAUGCUAAGCCUGUUCAGGAAGCUGCACAUGUCGCUACCAAUCCCGUGCUGUUGGUCCUGUAACAAGGAGCAUGACGAGGGCCUCCACCCGAAGUAGCAUGGAACCCUCGGCGCCAACUCCCGUUUUCGGGGCAACAUCACAAAUGAGCUAUUCCUCCACGAUGGGGGUCCAAGACGUUUUCACCUCGAUUGAGAAGACUCUUGCCAUGCUCGAAUUUGGAUCCGAACCCAAAUUUUAUAAGCAUGACAAUGAUUCAUCAAGCACUGGAUCAGCCUCUUCACAUGAAACUCUUCAUUCAAGAUUUUGUAUUGAAGAUUCUGCUGCUUCCUCCGCUGCAAUGCCUGCCAUGAUGACAAAUACGUUGAGUCUCGAAGAACAAGUUUCGAACAUGUCCAAGAUGAUGGAAACCAUGAUGAAACACAUCAAGGACCAAGAUGCUCUCAUUGCUCAACUGCUCACUCAGAAAGAUCACGCUGCUGAAGGAAGCCAUGCGAACCAAGAGCGUGAAAAUCCCUCAUCUAAAGGCAAAGACAAGGUGAAGAAAGUAUAUGUGACCGCCGAUGGAACUAUCCCCGUGGAACAACUGAAGGAACUUGUUGAAGGUGUGAUCAAAGAUAAAAAGGAGGGUGGUCCAAAGUCGAGUUUUACCUACUGCAAGCCUUACACCGCUAGAAUCGACAAACUAGCAAUGCCUGCUGGAUAUCAACCGCCUAAAUUUCAACAAUUCGAUGGGAAAGGUAGUCCAAAGCAACAUGUGGCUCAUUUCGUCGAAACCUGCAAUAACGCUGGAACCUAUGGUGACUUGCUAGUCAAACAGUUCGUCCGAUCCUUGAAGGGCAAUGCGUUUGAUUGGUACACUGAUCUCACUCCGGGGUCCAUCGACAGUUGGGAACAGUUGGAACAAGAGUUCUUGAAUCGCUUCUACAGCACUAGAAGAACCGUCAGUAUGCUGGAGUUGACUAACACUCGUCAAUGGAAGGAUGAACCUGUGGUCAACUACAUCGAUAGGUGGAGAAGUCUGAGUCUCAACUGCAAGGAUAGACUGUCUGAACCCUCUGCCAUAGAGAUGUGCAUCCGAGAAAUGCAUUGGAGCCUGAGCUAUAUUCUACAAGGUAUACGCCCAAACACAUUUGAAGAAUUAGCUGCUCAUGCUCAUGACAUGGAGUUAAGCAUCACGGCCAAUGCAACUGAUGGGCUUCCUAUUCAAAUUCCGCGAGUACAGCCACCUCGGCAAAACAAUGAAAGACAAGAAAAUAGAAAAGGGGGCAAGCCUCCUUCAAGAUUCAAUAAUAAGGAGUCUAUGGCAAUAAACACAGCUCCCAUGAAAAUUGCUACCAAAGUGAGUCGAAAGAUCACUGAGAAAUUAGAUUCCUCCCAGAAUAGAUCAGUAAGAAGACCCACUUUAAAAGAGAUGCAAGAAAGGGAGUACCCUUUCCUUGAGUCCGACUUACAAGAAAUGUUUGAUGAUCUUUUCAAGGAGAAGCUCCUUGAACUUCCCGACAUGAAGCGCCCAGAGAAAGCUGGUCAAGUCAAUGAUCCAAAUUACUGCUGUUAUCAUCGCUUGAUUGGUCACCCUCUCACUAAAUGCUUUGUCUUUAAAGACAAAAUUAUGGAAUUGGCCCGUCAAGGGAAAAUCCUUCUCGAGGAAGAUAAAGUAUCGGCAAAUCAAACAACCAUAAUGUUUGGGUCUGUGUGUUGUCCGAUAGAAGUUUCAUCCACAACAAGCGGUGCUUCGUCCAAGAAGCUUGGAAAAUCCUCAAUUGAAGAUGUUAUUGAAGAUGACAACAAAGGAUGGACUUUAGUCACUCGAAAGAGGACUUGCAAGCCAAAAAUAAAGAAGUACAUCUUUUCAAAAAGCAUUCGUUCGACAAAAUCUGAAGUGACAAUGAAACGACGAAAUGCAACAAAGAAACAAAAGGGAGUGGCCACAAAACCAAUUCCUUCAGAUUUUCAGCUCCUUCAAGAGGGUCGGCAGCCCGUGACACUGAGAGAAUUUAUACCCAAGGGGUAUUUAAGUGACGAUACCGAUGACUCCACCUCUUGUAAUGUCGUCAAAGUUGAAAAUUCUCAAGUCACACAAAUUGGCACGGAAUUUGAGAAAAAACUCAAAAUCGAUGAUAAACCACCAGUAGAUUGUGCAACGACUAUCAUUUUUGAUGAUGACGAUUUGACUGUCGAGUUCAAAACCCACAAUCGACCUUUGUUUGUUAGUGCGUAUGUCCGAGAGCAGAAGAUGAAUCGGAUACUCAUUGAUGGGGGAUCUGCUGUCAAUAUCAUGUCCGUGCGUGCUAUGAAAGAGUUAGGAAUCUCAAGCGAUGAACUCUCCCAGAGCCGCCUCAUGAUCCAAGGAUUUAAUCAAGGGGGCAAAGAGCAAUUGGUCUCAUAAGGCUUGAAUUGCUCAUUGGCGAGUUGUCUUCAAGUGCGUUAUUUCAUAUCAUUGAAGCCAAAACCUCUUAUAACAUGCUCUUGGGAAGACCAUGGAUUCACAAGAAUGAAAUUAUACCAUCUACUCUGCAUCAAUGCUUCAAAUAUUGUCGAGACGGUAUUGUUAAGAAAGUUACUGCCGAUGACAAACCUUUCACGGAAGCCGAAACUCACUUUGCCGAUGCCAAAUUUUAUCUUCACAAAGAAGCAAGAAAGGAAUCGGUAAGGGAAGAAAGUCAAGAUUCCAAAGUACCCAUUUUGCGGUAUACUCCAAGAUCAAAGAGAGAAGAAGGUCAGUCUUCUUUUAUCAGAAAUGACACAUUAAAUGUUCCGCUCACCAAGAUAGAGCCUGUUAAAAUUGAGAAGGUGAGCUUGCAAGGGUUUGUUCGUCCCAAAGAAGAACCGGCAGUGGAACAUUACUCGCUACCAACUAAUCGGACUCAAGAAGGUUUUGAUCCAAACGCCUAUAGACUUCUUGCUAAGGCGGGUUAUAACCCAAAUGAGAAGAAUACAUUGGGCAAACUCCCUCGUGAAGUGACUGGCGAGAGGACUCACGGAUUGACACCUACGCAGAAAAUAUUGAAAGAAAGGGGCUAUAAUGUUGAAAGUUCAUCGAUGGGUCUUGGUUAUCAACCGCCCUCUCCUGUUCGUAUAAUGAUCAAAAGAGCGAGUUGUAACUAUGUGAACGAAGAAAUGGAGGUCACAAGCCGAAAGAGAUCUGUGUUCGACCGAUUGGGAAAUAAGUCAAAACGUACUUCUGUGUUUGACAGACUUGGCCCGCAGCCGAAAAAUCUGAAGUCGCCCGUCUAUGAGAGAUUAGGCAGUAAGAAACAAGAGUACCAAGUUGUCAGGGAAGAAAGUCUUACUCCAAUAAAGAAGAACAGACCAAGGAAGCGAGUCUCCAAUUUCUUCAUGCACUAUGGAGACUUAUUCAAUGUAAGAAUUGAAACCAUUUUUGAAGAACAGGGUCAAGAAAGUACGGCUUCCUGUCACCAUAUUACGAUCAGUGAUCUUGAAGAAGAAGAAGAAGAAGAUGCAGAUGACGCUCCCGCUGAACUUGAACAAGGGAUAAAAAAUACGGUCGAUGAGCUAAAAGAGAUUAACCUUGGCACAAGCGAGGAUCCUCACCCAAUUUACAUAAGCUCUUGUAUGACUCUUGAAGAAGAAAAAGAGUAUGUUGAUUUGCUGCUCGAGUUCAGGGACGUCUUUGCCUGGAAUUACUCAAAAAUGCCUGGUUUGGAUCCAAGGGUCGCCGUUCAUAAUUUGUCCGUCAAGCGAGGAACAAAACCUGUCAAGCAAACGCAAAUGCGCUUUCGGCCCGAAUUAAUCCCUCUGAUAGAAAAUGAGAUAAAUCGAUUGAUUGAAACCGAAUUCAUACGAGAAGUAAAAUAUCCAACAUGGAUUUCAAGCAUCGUCCCUGUAAGGAAGAAGAAUGGACAAAUUCAAGUUUGUGUUGAUUUUCGCGACUUAAAUGAGGCUUGUCCCAAGGAUGAUUUUCCUCUCCCCAUCACAGAAUUGACGGUGGAUGCUACAACCGGGCAUGAAGCACUAUCUUUUCUCGAUGGAUUGUCUGACUACAAUCAAAUACGCAUGGCGCCCGAGGAUGAGGAGUUCACUGCCUUCCGCACCCCCAAGGGGAUUUAUUACUAUAAAGUGAUGCCGUUUGGCUUGAAGAACGCUGGAGCGACAUAUCAAAAGGCAAUGCAAAGAAUUUUUGAUGAUAUGCUCCAUAAGAAUGUGGAGUGCUACGUCGACGACCUCGUGGUGAAAUCAAAGAAGCGAGAGGAUCAUAUUCAAGACCUUCGAAGAGUUUUUCAACGCCUUCGAAGAUACCAACUGAAGAUGAAUCCUUUGAAAUGCGCAUUCGGAGUCACUUCUGGCAAGUUUCUCGGUUUCAUCGUUCAUCAACGGGGAAUAGAGGUCGAUCGAUCUAAAAUCAAUGCCAUUGUGAACAUGCCUGAACCGCGAAAUAUUCAUGAAUUGAAAAGUUUUCAAGGGAAGUUGGCUUAUAUCCGGAGGUUUAUCUCUAAUUUGGCCGGACGAUGCCAACCCUUCAGUCGACUGAUGAAGAAAGGGGUGCCCUUCGAGUGGGAUGAAUCGUGUAGGAAUGCUUUUACAAGCAUCAAAAUGUAUCUCAUGAAUCCCCCAGUAUUGGCUGCACCCAUCCCAAGAAAACCAUUGGUUCUCUAUAUUUCCGCUCAAGAAAGGUCGGUUGGCGCCUUACUUGCUCAAGAAAAUGAUGAAGGUAAGGAGAAUGCGCUGUAUUACUUGAGUCGGAUGAUGACACCUAAUGAGUUGAAUUAUUCUCCCAUCGAGAAGUUGUGCUUGGCACUUAUAUUUGUCAUUCAGAAGCUAAAACAUUAUUUUCAAGCACACACUAUUCGACUCAUAUCUAAGUCUAAUCCCAUUAAAUAUGUGAUGGCAAAACCUGUAUUGUCUGAUCGGCUCGCGAGAUGGUACCUCCAGUUUCAACAAUUUGAAAUUAUUUAUGUACCUGCGAAGGCUGUCAAAGGACAAAUAUUGGCAGACUUUUUAGCCGAUCAUCCCAUACCUGCCGAGUGGGAAUUGACUGAUGAACUCCCCGAUGAAGAAGUAUUUAUGGUCGAAUCCCCGUGGUCAAUGUAUUUUGAUGGAGCUGCUCACCGUGAUGGAGCUGGUGCGGGAGUUGUCUUUUAUACUCCUGAAGCAGAUGUAUUGCCGUACUCCUUCACUUUAACACGCCGAUGUUCAAACAAUGUGGCCGAAUAUCAGGCGUUGAUUCUUGGUCUGGAAAAGGCUGUAGAUAUGAAGCAGUUGCAUCUUAGAGUCUAUGGUGAUUCAAAAUUGGUGGUAAAUCAACUUCUUGGUAUUUAUGAUGUCAAGAAACCUGAAUUGAUCCCAUAUUAUGAGUAUGCAAGACAACUCAUGGGAUAUUUGGAUAGUGUCACUAUAGAACAUAUCCCUAGAAAUUUCAACCAACAAGUUGACUCUUUGGCAAGAGUGGCGUCCAUGAUCACUUUACCUUCUCAUCGAAAUCAAAUUUCAAUAUGUCAGAAUUGGGUCAUACCUCCGAUGUUUGACGAAGAAGGUGAUGGUGGGGAAGAAAAUAUUUAUCAUAUUUUUGUCCAUGAGAUCGAAAAAGAGGAUUGGCGUCACCUCAUCACUGAUUACCUUAAUCAUGGGAGGUUACCAGAAGAUCCUAAGAAAAGGGUUGAUAUACGUCGUCGAGCACCACGUUUCAUUUACUACAAAGGGAUGCUUUACCGAAGGUCAUUCGAUGGGGUGUUUUUACGAUGUCUUGGAGAAGAUGAGGCCAUGCAAGCAAUGGAGGAGGCUCACUCUGGGAUAUGCGGUGCUCACCAGUCUGGCCCGAAAUUACACUUUCGCAUUAAAAGAAUGGGAUACUACUGGCCAACAAUGGUAAAGGAUUGCAUUGACUUUGCUAGAAGAUGUCAAGCAUGUCAAUUCCAUGGCAAUUUCAUCCAUCAACCUCCGGAACCAUUGCACCCAACAGUGGCUUCUUGGCCAUUCGAUGCUUGGGGUUUGGAUAUAGUUGGACUACUCCCAAAGUCUUCUGGCGGACACAUUUUCAUUUUGGCAGCGACAGAUUACUUUUCGAAGUGGGUUGAAGCAGUCCCUCUACGAGAGGUCAAAAAGGAGAAUGUAGUAGAUUUCAUUCGCUUGCAUAUCAUUUAUCGGUAUGGAGUUCCGCGUUAUAUUAUCACCGAUAAUGAUAAACCUUUUUGCAAUGCAGCAAUGAACAAGCUUUGCGAAAAGUUUCAUUUCAAACAAUACAAGUCGUCCAUGUACUAUGCUGCUGCAAAUGGACUCGCUGAAGCAUUCAACAAGACCUUAUGUAAUCUAUUGAAGAAAAUUGUGGAUAAAUCGAGAAGGGAUUGGCAUCUUCUAAUUGGAGAAGCACUUUGGGCAUACCGAACUACUUUUCGAACUCCCACGCAAGCAACCCCAUACGCACUUGUUUACGGUGUUGAAGCCGUUCUUCCACUUGAGUGUCAAAUACCUUCGCUAAGAAUCGCAAUUCAAGAAGGGCUCAGUGAAGAAGAUAAUGUUCGUCUUCGCCUUGAGGAGUUAGAAGCACUUGACGAAAAGAGAUUGGAGACUCAGCAACGAAUUGAGUGCUAUCAGGCUCGCCUUUCAAAAGCAUUUAAUAAGCAUGUCCGGCCACGCUCCUUUCAAAUUGGAGAGUUAGUACUCGCUGUUCGGAGACCGAUCAUUCUCACUCAUGGCGGACAAAGAAAGUUUACCUCUAAGUGGGAUGGUCCAUAUGUUGUUCGGGAAGUGUAUACAAAUGGCUCAUACAAGUUGGUUGCUGAAGACGGGUUAAGGGUUGGCCCCAUCAAUGGCAAGUACCUAAAAAGGUACUAUGCAUAAUCGGAACCGCGCAACGCUCCUGGCCCGCAUGAGCUAAAACUGUGGAUGACAACCACCAAUAGUGUAGUAUGUGGUUAAACUGCUGAAACACUCCACAAAGUCUAAGGUGGUAAACAAAUAGAUACUCCUGGCCCGCAUGAGGUUAAAAUGUGAACGGCAGGAACUACGUGUGACUUGAUUCCCUUGUUGGGAUAUGUAGGCAGCUUGGAGGGCAACUUCUAAGUUCAGUUACACCACUCCAAAUCAAAUCCUUGUCCCUUGCAAAAAAAAAAAAAAAAAAGAGAGAUGAAAAAAAAAGGAAUUUCCUCUUUCCAGAAAAUAAAAAAACAUAAUAAAAUGCUCCAUUUGAGUUCUUUUCUCUUUUAAAAAAAAAACAUCAAGAGAUAAGAAAUGAAAAGCAUUUUAUUAUUGAAAAAAAAGAAACUCAUUACAUGGAAAAAAAAAAUGAAUGACAAAAGAAUUCAGGAAGAAGAAGAACAUGGUGGAAAGUCUAAACAUCAAAUUUGUAUUCCACUACAGCUACUUUAUAUGAUUCAAGUGCAGACUUCGUGUCCUCAAGUUCCUUCACAGAGUCAUCAGUCAAGAUGCUGGUCUGUUCAAUGGAAGAUAGCUCAUCAUGCGCUUGGGUUAUUUCGACCUGGAUCUCUUUGAAGGUCUCAUGCUUUUGAUCGAUAGUUGAGGUGAUUUCCAGACUUUGCUUCUCCAAACCGAUGAGUUUCUGUUGCAGAACCUUCUUCCUGGCUUCAAUGGAUUGCAACUCUUCUUCAAGACUUUGUAAAUGACGAGUCAGUUCUUCUCCCUUUGCCUUAAUUUUCUCGAGUUGGACGGUCGCUUUGGAAAGGAGUUCUGCAUGUGUUUCUUUGUUCAUCCUUUCCCACGAUGAAAAUGCUAGAACAUCAUAAGCCUCCGCCUUGGCAAACAAUUCCAUCAAGUGGUCUUUUAAAGGGAGACCUUUGGCGGGAUCUGUUCUUGUGAUUUCUGUAAUGAUUUCCUCUGCACACUCUUUUAAAGAAGAGAUCUGCUCAGUUGGAGUGUCCAGAAUCUGUCCGUGAAAAUCCAUCCACAAACUCUGCAAAUACUUUCUUCGAUGUGCCUGGAUCAGCUUUUGGCCAUGAAAUUCUGAAACAAGUACUGCCUUAGGUCUUUUUCGGAUUUCGUGCGAACUAAUCAGCUCCUUCUUAUGCAGUGACGAAGUAUCUCCAUUGGGGGCAAAUUGUCUGGGAGUACUGAUAGCUAUUUCGUCACUUUUGUUGUUGGAAAUUAUAUCAACUUCGAGUUCGGGUGGUGAAUUGUUACCAACACCUUCUUGACGGAAUUCAAGAAACGGGGGCUGAAAAGAAAAAGGUUACAACCAAAAGAAAAUUAUUACAAAAAAAAAAAAAGGAAAAAAGAUGGAGAGAUGAUUACCUUAAGUGGCGACACUUCAACCGACGGUGGUGUAAAGGAAAUCUCCUCCAAAUCAGAAGAUGUCCUCUUCUUUGAUCGGUUCCAAUGACGAUCUUGACUACUACUACCGCUCGCCAACGAAUGGGCUCCUCCCUGGGUAGAUCCGAUGCCCUGAACUUGAGUUCCUUCCUUUUCUAUAGCCUCGAUAGAGUCAUGAUCGUCCACCAUUUCAAUUUCGACAUCUUCUUCAGUGCGAGUUGCCGAUAAGGAUUUUGAAGCUUUGGGCGGCGUCUUCUUCGCUGGAACCACUGGUUGCGCCUCUUUGAUGGCCUGUCGAGAGUCCUUGGAAGACUUAUUUUUUGUGGCAAUAUUUUUCGAAUGACUGCUAGUAAUUUGGUUCUUUCGCAAGGUGGAUGAGGCAAGACUCGUUACAAUCUCUAUAACUCCGUUAGGAUGCACGGGCUCGUUGGCGGAGGUAACCUUACCCUUCUUCGAUGAUUGCUGAGUGAUCUUAACGGUGAAUUUAAAGGGAGUUGAAGAGACACUAUUUGAUCGAGUCGACCACCAGACAUCGUAGUCUUUUGUGAUCAACGGAUGUUUCCUGUGCGUGGGUAUAGUCAUCCGAGAUCGCGUUUGCAUGCGAACUGAGGAAUCCCAUAGUUGAAUAGCCUCGCCCAAAGUGUAAGUGUGAGUGAUUUCUUUCAAGUUGUUGGGGAUGUCUUGACAAAAGCCGAAUUGUCUGCUAAACCUGCAAGGGUUAUAUUUUUCAAUAAUGAAAGUAUUGUCCUUACGUAAAGUUAAAUGGCAAGAGCGUUGACUAAUGAAGUAGCUCGUAAGUCUUGAUGAUAAAGAUCCAUCAUCGAUCAAUACCUUUUCUUCAUUCUCAGUCCAGCACAAUUUAGGAAGCCUCAAAGGAUUCACUUCUUUGAAGAUUUCCUCAGCUUCUGAUCGACCAUAGAAUAUUGCCAUUUUCUCACCGCUAAAUCUCGUCAUGCGCGCAUGGUGGCUACUCACUUGAUUAUUCUCGUGAUAUACGUCGAAAUAUUGGCCAAUCCAAGCAUAGACGUAAUGGAUUGGAAAAGUUACUCCACAUUCUCCAAGGUUAGGGGCGUGGACGAUCUCCCUCAACCCGUGAUAUAUGCUCGCAAGGACGGGAAUUGCAAGAUAAAAUCUUUUCCCUGUAGCCAUUAAGCAUGCAACCUUGAAAACGCUUGGGCGGAUACGGUCGACCUUUUUGCUUGGCAAAAGGAACUUGCAGAUCCAACACGCUAUGAAUGCCGCAAUAUAGGUCUCCUUUCUUAGAGACUCUGGGAUACCCAGGAUGUCAAAAGGGACAUUGAAGUCAUUCGUAUCGGCAAGGUCGUAAGGCUCCACGCUUCCAGAAGGGUUGUAAGUCAUUUUUGGUUUAGAUGUGGUCUUCCUUCUAUUCGCUCUAUUCGGAGGAGCCCUAUACCUAGCCUCUCCUUUGAACCAGAAGCGAAUCCAGUCCUUCAUCCAUACCCCUUGGUCAUUCGUCCAAAGGUGGUAGUAGGCGGAAAAGAGGUGCCUGCAACUCUCGGGGAGAAGUGGCUUCCCUUCUUUGUCACGAGUGAGGAGCUCCCGUGCCGAAGGAACAACUUCAUCAAAAAACGUGCCGUCGAUCGAAAGGCCAUCAAGUCGAUAGAGGUCCCAAAGUGUAAUGGACAACUCCCCAACGGGCGUAUGGAGUGUGUUCGUCGAGGGACACCAAUAUUUGAAGAAGGCUCGCAAGAUAUUUUCACAGCGGUCGUAGGAGUAUCUCGACGUGUAGACGGCUUCAAAUAUACCAGCGCGUGUGAGUAUGUCUUUAUGCCUUCCAAGCAUGUCCUCAACCCACUCCCAAUAAUGGGAGGUGAAGCACGCCUCACCGAAGAAUGACGAAGGGGUUUUCCAUGUAGCUUUGUCAACAUUGAAUCCCACGAACGGAAGAGUGAAUUUGGCUAUUUCUGGAUCUCCAUUGUGAAGAGACGAGUUUAGCACGACCACUUCUUCUUCCCUUGACGUAGUGGAGAAAGUCGACGGUGCCACCACUUCCUUAGUCCACUUGCUAGCCCAGUUUUCGAGAUGAAAGCAUCCUUCGAGGGGUAUGAAAGAUUCAGCGAGCGGCCCGAUUGCUGGUUUGUAAACAUGUAGUGACAAGCUCUUUGAUUGAGUUCCUCCCCGUUCAUCCGUCAGUGAAAUAUGCGGCACUGGCACGGCGUAGUCCUUAAUUUGCAUGAUUGCUGGAAUCUUGUAAAAGAAAAUAUUAGAGGAUGCAGGAGCGUCGUGCAAGAAGUUUGGUAAUUAAAUUACCUAAUUGGUUGCCUCUUCUCAAAUCCCCGGAAUUAUUUCGAACCCCUCUUCAAGCGCAGCUUGAGUUGUCUACAAAGAGGCAAGUUGACAAAGUUUAGAUCAAAAUCAUGUAUAGUAAUAUUUGGAAAAAAAAAAAAAGGGGGCUCUCAAAUACCAUAUUUGAUAUUACCCUCAUACAUGGGAAAAAAAAAUAUCAUAUUUGGUAUUAUCCUAAUAGAUAAAAAAAAAAAACUAACUUUUGCUCAAAUAAGCAUGUUUAGUGUUAAGGAAAAAAAAAGGGGGUUCAAAUAUCAUAUUUGGUAUUAUCCUAAUAGAUUAAAAAAAAAAAAAACUUUUGCUCAAAUAAGCAUAUUUAGUGUUAAGGAAAAAGAGGGGGGUUCAAAUAUUAUAUUUGGUAUUACCCUAGUAAAUGAGCAAAAAAAAAAACAAAAAACAAAAACAAAACAAAACAAAAAAAAAGAAACAAAAACGAAAGAAAACAAAAACAAAAAUUGAAUUUUCAGCUCUGAGGCAUAGCUCAUAUGUAUGUUUUGACCUGAGCUUCAUUCUCAAAUAAUAUUUUGAGAAAUUGUUUAGUAAAGUCAUGGGGCUCUAAGCGUCUCAAACUUCUUGUAAUAAUUAAAUGUUGCAAGAAAGAAAAAAAAAGGGAAGCCGCAGGUACCUGAUGACGGCUGACUCUGGCGUGCGGCAAUUUGUUGAUGCGGCUUAAGAGAAAUAAAACUCGUUGAGAAGAAAGUGUUCAAACGCUACCAAUGGAUGACAGUUGAUGCUUGCGGCUCGGUGAAGAUCUCAAGGGUCAGACGCUGUCAAGACAAACUAAAGCAAGUAUGGGAACCGUCGAUACAAGAAGGUAUGAAUGUGUGUGAACGAGAAUUAGAGUGACUACCUUCAAAGCUAUAGUGGAAGAAGCGACCAGAUCCUUCAAACGGCUUGCAACAUUGACAACGAAAAGGUUGUCUCCGAAUCUGUUGUUGCACAGACUACAAGGGUAAGCCGCGGUUCCAUGCAAAGUAGUAGAACAAGAAACACAAGCAGGGUGGUACCAUAGCUUGGAGGAGUAGUGCGUACCUUAAAAAUAAUCCUAGCGUAGCUCGGCACGUUCUGACCAACUCCAAAUUGAUUCUAUUAGUUUAAGGGGCGGCAAGGCCAAGCAAACUAGUAAAUUGUGAAUGACGGCAGUAGCAAAAAUAGGGGACGUAGCAGCGGCACCUCAUGACAACAAUAUUCGGGAAUCAAAAGGGAAGAGAAAUUUUUUUUUUUGAGCAAGUUCACGGCUUUGGACUUGGGGGAUUUAUAGGACGAAUCUCUACUACAAAUCUGGGAGAAAGUUGAGUUCAAAUACAACUAGCUUCCUGGUCCGCUUCAAUCGUUUGAGGGAUAUCUUCAGGGGUCCUAGCAAUUAAGUCGGCUGUAUAUUGGGAAGUGGAUUCUACACUGGCUUCAGGGGGCUUGCUUCUAAAAAGGACCAGUUUAUUAUCCCAUGCGAUAUAGCUUCCAUUUAUGUUGGCCUUGGAAGGAAUUCUUGUCGCAACCAACCCCUAUACGCUGAGUAAGUUGUGUCGGCAUGGAAACUUGCGAAGCGGUGGAGUUUAUGAUUGAUCAAGGAGCAAGAUAUUUACCUCGUAAUUAAAGUUGAAAGUUCUCUAGGCCAAUUGAAAGGUUAUUUGCAUGCAAGGUGCUCACAAGACAGAUGCUUGCGAGAUGGAGUCCCACGUCAAUCGCCUGUAUGAUUCUUAUUCGGAUAUUGAAGGCUCUUGUGGGCAGCUCCUUACUUAAGUGGUCUAUUUUAGAAGAGAUAUUUCCGCAAAACUUCAGAACUCAAGGAGAGUUAACCUCUUCGAUCCAAAGGAUCGUUAAGGUGAGUUUGAAGUCAAUUACAAGUCUAAUGUGAACCUGGCUUCGGGACUUUCCAGAAUGGUCAGUCGAGAUUGAAGAAGGGUCUAAUCUAAAUCCGAAUGGGUCUCUACUCCUGCUGAAAUUCAAUAAGCAAGCUUGGGAUUGGUUCGUCCAGAUGUAGUUCCCUUCUUAAAGUGGAUCUCUUAUCUAUUGAGUCACCACCGAGAUAUUUCCCAAGUUCGCAGAGAUCGAAGUUGGUAGAAUUCACAAAGGGCAAGAAUUCUUAUGCAUAAGGUAGACAAAAGGAAAGCUAUUUGGGAUCUGGCCUCGGGAGUUACGGGACUUGCAGGACUUUCCUAAUCAUUUUGGAAUUCGAAUACUACAUGGAACUUGCGCUCAAGACUUUCUAAUUCGACUAUGCAUAUCUCGUAGGUUCCUAAUCAUCAUCAGAUGCUACCUGGUAUUCUCAGUGGUAAUUGAUCUCUAAUAUGGGUUGUGCGCAAAUCUUCUUGAUUAAGGUGGUGGGCGUGAUUUGCAGGUGAGUAAAAACAAGGGGCAAUUCUUUAUUGUAUGGGGUCGCAAUUUAUAAUUUCCUAUUUCGACUCCUGGUCAAGGGUUUGAUCCUUCCACGACUUGAUUUCUACAAGUCGUAAAGGACUAGCGAUUAAAGUUUUGGAUUGGUUCGGAAUUCAAAUUCACCGCCUACUUUGGCCAUGGUCCAGCAAAGGUGGUGUUUAUAGUAGAUUAAAUUAAGGGAUUCCUCUUGUUCAGUUUGAGAUGCAAAACGUUCAUAUUGUUUGCAUUCCACAAAGCAAAGUUUGUAAGAAAAGUGUGAAUAAGAUUAUUUAUUGUGGGGGAUUCAUAGCACAAGUCCCACGGCAUUGCAGAGCUUUGGAUAUAAGUCCAUGAGUUGAUAUUCCAAUUGUAAAGCUUUGAGCACAAGUCCCACGGCAUUGCAGAGCUUUGAAUAUAAGUCCAUGAGUUGAUAUUUCAAUUGUAAAGCUUUGAGCAAAGCCACGGCAUUGAAUAGAUUUUGCUUGGAUUGAUAUUCAAGCGGUGGACAUAAGGCUUCCAAAUGAAGUGAUCCGGCCUCGGGAAAUUGGAGGCACUAGUGGUCUUGGAAAUUGAGAUCAAUAAGGCAUGAAUUGGUGGUCUUCCACGUAGCUAUCCUAUAUGAUACAAGUCAUUGAUAUGAAGUUUGCAAAGCUUGGAGUUUAGCCCAUUUAUGAGUUUUGUUUGAAAAGCUAAAAUAUCAACGGUGUUCAAGUUGAAACAAAAAAAAAUGUGUCAAAACUUGUCCGAUCAAAAUUUGCUUCGGUCUUCAACAUUCACGAACAAGUUUCGAGGGGGCAUUUGUAGACAAUGGAAUUACCAUUGGUCUAUAAAAUAUUUUUGUCCAAUCGGAUAUUGCCAUAGGGCAUGUAUACUUGGAAAAUUGGUUAUUAAAUGACCAAUUAUAUUUUGCCACGUGUCAAGGCGAGGUGUUCCAAACCAAUUCAAAUCGCAGGGGUAUCUUCACCAACUAAAUCAUAUCAUAUCACAUACCUAUUGGAUAAAUAUCUAAGUAUUUAUUUCUUAUUAAAGGGAUAAUAUUUAGAGUUAUUUAAUCCAAGUAUACCUCUUAUAUACUGCAGUAGCUUGGCCAGUCAAGCGGUGCCACGUCACGUGUCCCCACAAGUUUGGCCAAUCGAUAAAUUACUUAUCUCUUUAUUAAUAAAUAUAAAAUGAAGAGAUAAUAGUUGGCUAGCACAGUCCUAAUAUGACUGCACGUCUUGCAAGACAAGUGGAGCGGUACACAGGUUCUCAACCUCUACCUCUUGCUACAACUAUAAAUAAAGGUCUCUUAACCAAAUCAAGGACACACACACGGACACACAGAGAUAUCAAGAAGCAUCUCAUACACUCAAGUAUUGAAGUUUCAAGCUACGAAGGUCUGGGUCUCAAAGCUCCUCAAGUCUUCCGCAUAUCAAGGCUUGAGCCUUCAAGUAUUUUCAAAUCCUUCAAAUCUUCCAUAUCAAGAUUUGAAGGAGUCGGUGGUUGAUCCAAGAACAAGCUGCGAAGCCCUUGGAUUGGUGUUCGAGGAGAAGAAUCGAAGGAAGCUCUCCAUAAGUCCGAGAAACUUCCAGAGAUUGUACCUACAUAUUUUUUCUAAGUUUAUAUAGUACAUAUUUGUCGUGUAUUUCUUUUUCUUGUCGUUUUGCAGACUUGAAAUUUUUAUUGCGUACAGAUAGCAGUGGCUGCAAUAACUAGGAAGGUUCUCAGGGAUAAGAGCCUGCCAAAAGCCAUCCCCAUCUCCCAUAUCAACCCACACCCUCGACGGAAUCGAUUUGAGCAGAUCCACCUCAACACAUACCCGUGCCACAUUCGGUCGCGAAAACGAAGACGUAGCCGCAUCCACGAAAAGCGGCGUACCCAAGCAGGAGACAAGAUGAAAUAGACAUGGCUUAGCAAAUAAGUGAAUUGGGAGUUUGGGCAAUCUAAACCAGACGGGAACAAGGGAAGACUCUCUGUCCACAUGGAACUUAGAUGUCCACUUAAAAACCCUCAUGGGGCAUCCAUUCACGUACCACAAAUUUCGACCACAAACGCGAAGGAAGUCUGCUUCACACUGAAAUUUCAGCAAAACAUGCCUAGCAUCUAACAAUCCCACAGUCGCCGUAUCCUUCAAAUCAAGAGUCGACAAGAACUUCCUCAGGUCAGGCAGCAGCGGCUGCCCCUUAGAGAACUUCCCAACCAAAGUGUAGCGGAAUGGAGCAGCAAUCGCUGCUAUUUCAGCCGCACUGAAGACCACUGCAGGCUCUCCACGGUGUGUUGUCAUCCUCGCUUGGACUUGCACUACCUCCGACGUCGGUUGCGGUUCAAACAACGCAGAAAAGGCCUUCUUCCUAAAGGUGGGGGAGGAAGAGGCCGACGGCCUCCCACCUGGAGGAGGGGGGGCAGUCUCGGCUGCCAUGGACUUCGUUGUAUUUCUUCAUAUUUUAUUACACCAUUUUUUAACUCAAUCAAAUCAUAUUUCAACUUUUGUCACACUAUUUUCCAACUCAAUUACAUUAAAAGGCAAACUUGUGAGAAAUAAAACUUGUGAGACCCCAUCAACCCCUGCUCCUAUUAAUAUUACACAUGUAGAUUAUAUUUUAAAAGAAAAAUUACCAAAUUAGAAUUAGUCAAAAUAGUCCAUCAAAUAUAACAAAAGAAAAGUAUCCUUUUAGUUCGCGAGCUCAUUUUUUGAUCGGUUUUCUAGCCAAAAAGUGUGUGCCUUUCGUAGGCACCCACAAUUUAAAUAGCAAAAUGGGAAAACAAUUUAUUUUCUUCCAAAAAAGGCACAUGACAAUCAUAUGAUCACCUCCUGAAUAGGGAAUCCUAAUUAUUAUCCAUCAAAUUCAUAAUCGAAGAAAGAGUAAACUACAGGUGACCUUUACAGUUUCUUGUUUGAUUAUGGAUCUGGUGGAUAUGAAUUAAGGUCCUUUGCUAGAAGUGUGGUUAUGUGAUUGUGAUGCAUUUUUUAUUUAAGAGAAACAAAUUGCGUUUCAAUUUUGCCGUUGAAAUUGUGGAAACCAGAGAGAUGGUGCACUUUUAGGCUUAAAAAUUGAUUGAAAGUGAGUUUUGGGACUAAAGGAGCACAUUUUUUAUAAUUAUUUUGAUGCUUAUAUCAAAACCAUACAAAUUUACGCUGAAUGUAUUAAAAAUUAUACAAACUGAUUUGAACUAGAUAGAAUUUAACUUUCUGUAUAAGACAAUUUAUUGUGCACAAACCAUGUUUUUCGUUUUACUUUUAUAAUUAAGGUUUUCUACUAAAAAUAAAAUAAUGUGUUAGGUACAGCGUUGGCUCGCAUGUGGUGGGUACAGUUUCCGAAUAAAACAAUUUAUUAUGUGCAAUAAUGGUUUCUGGAUAUAGAUUCUUACAUUUCUUCUGAGUUUUGAUUUGCCUCUUACAUGGUGGAUACACCCACUUGACCUCAUAGUUCAUACCUGCAGAAAAUAAUCAAAGACAUAAUUGUGGAUAAAGAUUUGAGUGUUUUUCUAAUUAAUAAAGAAUAAAGUGUUUCUUAAGUAAUAGCUGAACUCUUGAUCACAUGAUUUUGGUUGUUGAUGACUUUGAUUUGGAUUCUGACCUUAUUCAAAUUCUUUUGAUUCUUUGAGAUCCCAUUAAUAUUACACAUGCAGAUAAUAUUAUAAUAAAGGAAAAAUUGUCAAAUUGGUCCCUUCCAUUUUCGAUAAUUUUUUUAGCCCCUCACAAUUAGAAUUAGCUAAAAUAGUCCCUUAUAUAUAUAUAUAUAUAUAUAUAAUGCAUCCUUUGGUCACAGAGCUGAUUUUUUAGGCAAGCCUCUUAGGUGCCCAAAAUUUUGAUGGCAAAAUGGGAACACAAUUUAUUUUCUUCCAAAAAAAAAGGCAUAAGACAAUCAUAUGACCACCUCUUGAAUAGAGAAUCCUUAUUUUUAUCCAUCAACCUCAUAAUCAAACAUGAAAGAGUAACCUGCAAGUGACCUUCAUGCUUUCUUGGUCGACUAUGGGUUUGGUGGAUAAGAAUUAGGAUUCCUAGAGAAGUGAUCAUGCGAUUGUCAUCAAUUUUUGUUUUUCUUUUUUUUUUUCAAGUGAAAUGAAUGUUCCCAUUUUGCCAUUGAAAUUGUGGGGACCUAAGACACAGUGUGCUUUUUUGACAUGAAAACUAAUAAAAAAUGAGUUCUGAGACUAAAUGGGCACAUUUUUAUUCAAUAUCUAAGACACUAUUUUGAUUGAUUUUAACCGUGAGUGACUGAAAUAGUGUUUAUUAAAAAUAUGAGGGACUAUUUUGACAAACUUCGGUAUAAUAAAGAUUGACCACUUUUUAAAGGAGUUUGGACAUUAUCCAUUUGGAAGUAUUACUAUUUUGAUCCUUUAUUGUUAUAAUUUUAUUCAAUUUACACUAUUUAGCUCGCUCCCAUAAGGAAUAUUCUUUCUGCGAUCUGCAAGGAAAAUCAAGGGAGCUAAUGGACGACUUGCAUGUGUGAACCACCAUGCACGUCACACAACAAAUUUUGCUCUUUUAUUAUUGGGCAAAAAAAAAUGGCGACCACUAAACUAUUUCUGACAUCUACUUCUAGCUACCAAACUAUUUCUUGUCUCAAUUUAAUCACUCAACUAAUUAAUCAAUACACCGUUGGUUAUUUCAUCGGAUUUUGCUCUUAGUUUUACAAAUAAACCAAACACAUGCAAAUCAAGUGCCAAAAUUUAAGGGUAAUCAUAUCCACUAAGUUUAUCAAUCCAAAUCUAAAAAGUCCAACAGCCACUAAUCUAUUCCCUUCGUACUCUUUUGGCCAUUCAAAUAUUUUUUGUUUCAAUAUAAUCACUAAAGUCUUAAAUCAAUAUACUAGCAGUCAUUCCGUCAAAUAUAUCUGUUAAUGCUAAGGAAUGAGUUCUAUGUGCAUUUCACAUACCCAAAACAGGACAAUUAUGUAAGGUCAAUUUUUUAGAAUUUUUCCCCGUUAAUAUUACAAAUGCAGGUAAUAUUAUAAUAAAGGAAAAAUUGUCAAAUUGGUCCUUUUCAUUUUUGAUAAAUUUUUUAGCCCCUCGCAAUUAGAAUUAGCUAAAAUAGUCCCUUAAAUAUUAAAAAAAAAUGCAUCCUUUUGGUCACAGAGCUCCUUUUGGUAAAUUCCUUCUUGUACCUUGAGAUUAAAUUUUAUUUAAUAUGAAUGACACAUAUUAUCUUGACGUCCAAAUAAAGGAGAUCAUUGUAACUUUUCAAAAACUUGAACGGAGCAACAUGAAAUUGUUAUAAACCUCAAAGGAGUUUUACAUAAAUACCCCACACGUUUACAAGCAGAUUUUAUCAUGCUAGUACCUUUAUAGUCGAAGAAAGCCAGUACAGUCAGUGCCACAUUGUUCCCUCUCCCUCUCUCUCGUUCUUCUCACAAGUUGUCUUGCGUGCUGCUUUGCUUCUCAGGACACGUUGAAGCUUUUGUUCUUUGCUAGCUAGGUAAUUAUUACAUGCCUGGCUCUCAAUUUCUCUGGUCCACUUCAUUAAUUGAUUUUUUUUUUUUGUAAAAAUUUUAGUGUAUCAAUUUCAGACGUUUGUUUUUCUUCGUUAUUGGAAAAUCCAGCAGCUGUUUGCAUGCUAAUAUAUGGGAUUUCUCUUUUGCUUAGAUCUGGAACACUUGCCGUCUAGCAGGAAAAAAUUAGCACCUGCAUAUUAUGUGACCCUGAAAAAAAAAAAACAUCUUUCUUUCUGUCCUCCAUUAGUUUGGCACUAAAACUUGAGUAAGGUUAACAGGAUUGUGCGGUACAACCAACAAUAAUGGAGGGGGAGAAGACGGAUACCGAGGGAAAGGUGGAGACAGAGAAGAUGAACAAGGAAUUUGCGAUGACAUAUGAUGUCCACUCUAAAAUGUUAGAGGAUCUAGUUGGGGAUCACUUCCAUUUGGGCUUCUAUGACUCUAGCUCCGUUAUCCCUGGUUCUGAUGUCAAUUCUGCUCAGACUCGCAUGAUCGAGGCGGCCCUCCGUUUUGCCUCUGUAUCAGGUAUAAUAAGCGUCGCACCUCUCUCAAGAUAUGCAUUCGCAGUUUGUGUGGAGUUUUCUUCUCUUUCUCCAAGUACAAAUGCUGUAGUUAUGGCACAAAACUGUAUUUUGCUGCAGAGCUAAGCUUUUUUUACUGGGGUGCAGAUUAAUUCCAAUUAAUUUCGAUUGUGACUUCGUUGAGUCAUCUACGACGGUCAUCGUUUACCGUGAGAUAAAGGCACUUAUUUUAAAAUAUUUCUAAUAGAUUGAUAAAAUAUUUCUAAUAGUAAAGGCACUUAUGUAACUUUGCACCCAAAUGAUAUAAUUGAACACUAAAUAAGUGCUCUUGUCCGAAUCUCUACCACGUGAAAUACUUCUCAAUAAGUCGUCAUAAUCUUAAGGAUUAAUUUUAUAAACACUGUCAAUAUAUACAUUAUUAUUAUUAAAUAUAUAACACAUGUGUAAAAUUUAAAUUUAAUAAUAUAUACUUACAGUGUAUAUAAAAUUUAUUCUAAUAUUAAACAGGCACUUAAUAUUAAAGAAUUAUCUAAGAUGGAAUAUCAUUUCUCUGCCAAUUGCGCUAGUCAUGCAUCUUGUUCUUAACCUUCGAAAAAUCAACACAUAAGUUUAUUGGUAUCACUCAAGAUUGGGUCAAUUUCAAUCAUAUUUCCUGAGAUUUGACCUUUGACCUAAUUAAAAAGUAUGCCUUGUGAUUUGGUCAGAUUACAGUCGAAUACCCCAGUAGCAAAACAUUUGUCAAAUACCCAGCCUUCACUUUAAAUACAAUAUUGGCAAUUAAACGCAGCCGUCACUUUAAAUCUAUUAUUUCCUUUCAAGUUAAAUACUUCUUCACAUGUAGGAAAGAAAAUAAAACUUUCAGUUAAUGACCAAAAAACACCAUUUCAAAUUUUUUUUUUUUUUUUUUAUCAAUCAGCAACUUCUAUACUAUCCUACCCUACAGGAGAGAAAUUCAACUAGAUUGUAUAAGGGACUAGAGAACAAGCAAGUUCAUCUAAACCAAAGAGGUGCUCUGCCAUAUUUUUUGAAUUUUUUUAACUAUAAGGUGUGGGUGUAGGGUUUAAAGUUCCGACGUACAAUCUAAAGAGGAAUUUUAAAUCCCUUACUUUGAAUUGACCAAAUUUUACACUCAAUAGUACAUGCAUAUGUAAACGGGGAUAAUCAAUUCGGGAAGGAUAAAAACAGAAGCAGCAUUUUGUUUUUCUUUUUUCUUUUGGUCUUUACUUUUCUUUCUCAUUUUAGUAGCUUUAGUUUUUCUUUCGCUACAUUUGCAAUGGAUUUAGGGGUAUUUGGCUAUUCAAAAGGUUAGAUUACAAAUUGGUCAAAUUACAGGAUUAGUUCUAUAAUUUGGACAAGCCUUAUGCAAUGUGAAUAUACAUUAAGCAUAGAAUUUGUUUUUUUCUGGGCAAUCAUAUGCAAUUUCUGUAAUUGGUACUCUGGGUUUAGGUCAUGCACACAUUGAAAAAAGAAAUGGUUUGAUUUCCUUUCAAUGUCUAUUUACUUUCCUAGUGAAACAUCCUCCUCAUAAUUUCUAGUUUUUUCUCCUCUCCAACUUUGUCAUUUAAUAGUCAACCAACCGGCAUUAUUUAUCAUGAAAUAAUAUGCAGAGGAUCCAUCUAAGAAACCAAGAAACAUACUUGAUGUUGGAUGCGGUAUUGGUGGCAGCACCAGGUACCUAGCAAGCAAAUAUGGUUCUCAAUGUAAAGGCAUCACCCUUAGCCCUUUUGAGGCUGAAAGAGCUCGUGUUCUAACUGCUGCCCAAGGAUUAGAAAGCCAGGUCUGUAUUGAAAGAUUUGCAAGAAGUUAUCAAUUGUUAAAUCACCCUUUAUGCAAGUGCACAAUGAGUAAAAAUUUUCAUUCUUCCAUUUCUUAAGGAAUGAUGACUGAGUGCAUACUACUACUACUAUGGUUUUGAAAAAAUAUUGUGAAACUGAUGGUAGAUGAUUAUUUCAUGUAAAGAACACACGUCUUAGAUUUUCCCCAAUCUUUUAAACCAUAUAAAGCAAGAGAUGCAUUUUCAUAGAAUACUAGAUGCUAACCCAUGCACAUGCACAUAUUUAUAUUACCUGUUUAUUUCUAUGAGAAAGAUAAUAGACAAUGAAUGAAGUUACAUAUGAACUAAACAAAUUGUUCUGAGGAAAGUUAAAGGAAAAAUAUGUCAACAACAACAACAAACAAUUUCAAAGCGUGGAAGAAAAAAAGAAAAGUUUCAGCAUUCCUGAGGCUAGCUCGUGAAUGCUGCCAAAGCGUCCCCACUUUUGGUUCAAGAAAGCGAAACUGAUACUCCAAAGUUUCAAGAAUCCUAAUUUGUGAUAGUUUUGUUUUGAUUACCCAUCCUCACCUUUACUUUUUAUACACUAAAAAUGCAAAAUUUUUAAAUCCUAAAUUUUAGCGGCUAAAAUUAUCUCAUGAUAGAAUUGAAUUCAAAUAUGUAUUAUCAGUAAUCUUAGGUAAUGAUGAUAACUCUUGGAUUUGGAUACACACGUAUGUGCAUACAUAUAUAUAUACAUACAUACAUAUACAUAUAUAUAUAUAUAUAUAUAUGUGUGUGUGUGUACACAUAUGCACAUAUACACAUACAUCUAACUGUAUAAAAGCGGGAGUUGGGUUAUGAGUAGUAAUUCUUUGUCAAGUGGUUAUCAAGUAAUUUUCGGCAACUUUGAUGGCUUUUGUAUUUGUUGGUUUUGUUGACUUUUCGGGAACUCCAUUUGCAUCAGUCAUUGGCAGUUCCUCAUGUCAUUAGGAUUAGUCUUAGUAGUCCUUCAUUUUUUGCUAAUGCCAUUUCCUGUUUCAGCCUUACUCGGAGGCCAGAAGAUGCAUGUUAUAGUUGUAUGGUUUAUUUGUAAUUUAUUUGUUCUUUAUUCCUCUUUUUUGCAUCAUUUUCGCCUAUUGUGAUCCGCAGAGAUAGGCCAUCUUAGCUAUUCUUGAGUAUUAGUUUAGCCUUAGGUUUGUCUUAUUUUUCAGUUAUGCCAGUCCUUUUUUUCUUCGUUCAAGCUGCAUGCUAUAGUUGCUUGAUUGUUUGGUAAUUUUGUUGUCUUCUGACCCGAUUUUUUGUUGACUCAUUGUUCACUUUUGUGGAUGCCUCACUUUUUGUUUCUACAUGUUUCUUUAAUUUAGCGGAUAGUGAAAUAAAUUUGUUUGGAAAAGAAUGCACGCCUAAGUGGAUGCAGUGUUAAAUUUUCAUGUGAUAACUAUUGCUGUGACUAUGCAUGUAACCAUGCUGCGGACUGUCUUCCAUGGAAUUUCCAAAAAUUGAGCUGGACGGAAAAAAAAGGGCCGGCAUUUUCAUCAAAAGUUAAUGAAAUAGUUUAAAGUGCCAAAAGGUUUUAACCAAAAAUAGUUUCUAAUUUUGCUGAUUUUUUAAAAUGUACAAUUAUAAAGAUAUAUUAGUCUAUAUAUUUAUAUUUAGUGUGCAUAAUUAUUAGAAAAUUUUUAGUACCCUUAUUUUUAUUUUUAUAGUUUUCAUUCUAUUUAUAUGUGUGUGCUAAUUUAUGAGCUUAAUUUUUUUUUUUAUAAAAGAUAAUAUCUAAGGAUAUAAAAGGGGAGAGUUGGGUUAUGAAUAGUGCUUUUUGGUCAAGCGGUUAUGCUGCAAUUAUUGUUGGAUGUGGAGGCUAUUUUCGUCAAUUGGCUGUUUUGGUUAUUUCACGUUGGUGGUUUACUUUGUGAGGCGAUAAAUAAAAGUUCUGUGUGUGCUUGUUUUUCUAUGCAAUUUAAUACUCAUUGCAUUGGGUGAAGUGGUUGUCUACCAUGUUGACAAGAAACUUCUAAUUGCAUGAUUUCCAAAAAUUGAACCGAAAAAAAAGUAGAAGUCCAACAUUGUCAUCACAAGUAACGAAAAUUGGCUGUCAAGAUUUGGGACUAAAAAUGGUUUAUAAUCCUUCUACUAUUUAAGAUGCACAAUUAUUAAAAAAAAUAUUAGUCUAUAUAUACAUAUUAAAUGUAUAUAAUUAUUACAAAUUUUUUGAUGCCCCUUAUUUUUAUUGUUAGUUUUCCAUUCUAUAAGCAUAAAGUUAUUUCCGUCUUGUAUGUGAGCUAGAUGGUUAACUUAUUUCCUUUUUAAAAAAAUUAAUUUGUUAUUUUUCUAACAUAUUCGUAUUUAAUAUAUAUAAUUAAUAUAAAUUUUUUAACACAUUCAUUUUUCCUAAUGACUCUAAAUUGAAAAGCAAUGUGCUAUUUUUUUUAUUAUUUUAGUCAAACAUGUAACAUUAAUUAGAUUAUUUCUUACAUUAAAAAGCUAAAGUACUCUAAAUUUCAAACAAUAUAUAAUAUAAUUAUAUAUAUAAUACAAAAGGGAGAGUUACCCUAUGAAUGGUAUUUUUGGUCAAGUGGUUAUCCUGCAAUUAUCUAAUAAUAUAAAUGAAGAGUUGUCCUAUGAGCAGUGUUUUCUUGUCAAGUGGUUAUCCUACAAUUGUUAUUGGAUGUCGGGGCUAUUUUCAUCAAAUUGCCUGUUUUGUUUGUUUAAAGCAGGUAUAGUUUUGGUGCAUUUACGAGACAUGUUGAUCAAAUUAGUAAUUGGUGGUGUAAAAAGUGAAGCUUUUGAAAGUUGAUUUUUUUGUGGUUAAUUAUUUGCUUUUAAAGUGUCCUUUUUUUUUACCUAUGAAAGAAUUGAUAAAUUAUUGCUAGCUUUAGUGACUUUAAAAAUGGCCUUUAUUACUGUGACAUGAAAUAAAAUUGUUAAAUGUUCUGUAAAUGCACAAUUAACGAGGAAACAAUGAAUAAAUUAUUGUUGGUUUGACAUCAUAUAAUAUUGUUAAGUGUUCUGUAAAUGCACAAUUAUUGAGGAAACAAUUAAUAAACCAUUGUUGGCUUUAGUAACUUUAAAAAAUGGAUUUUAUUACUGUGAUAUGUGGUGAUUAAUUUAACAAUGCCAAGUUCUAUGGUUUAAGUGCUUAAUUGACUUGCCAAGUCUCCCUUUUUUGUGUCAACAAUGAUUAAUACUUUUUUGGGAAUGAUUCACUUCAUAAUUUUCUAAUUAUGCUAAAUCAAAUGCAAAAUAACCUUAUACAAUUUUCUAAUUUACGCUUAUGCAUUCUAUAUAAGCGCCCUCAUGCAUUCUAUAUAUUAUUGUUCUCAUGUAUUCUAUAUAUUUCAUAAUUGUCAACCUUUAAUAAAAACAAUAAUUCUCUAAUGAUCUGCAUGAAUUAGAUAAUAACAUAGAUGUAUACUAAUAAACCACACAAUAAAAAACAGUUAGCACGGGAAAUAUUAGCCCAUGCGCAGGCCGUCUCACUAGUAUAUAUAUGUGCAUAUGUGUAUAUAUAUGUAUGUAUGUAGAAUUAAUCUUCUAUGCACUAACUAAUAAUUUAUACACUACACUACAACAAAAAUGGCUUUUCCUGACAUGUCUAUAAGAACACUUGUUGGUUUGUGUCAUUAUAGCACUUUUAUUAUGACAUUUGUUAUCAACUCAAUAAUAUACACUCUAUUUUUUUUUAUUUUAUCUGAUAUAAGAAUAAUAAUGUGCCUUUAGACUACCUAUCAUGACACUUGAGAAAAUGUGAGAUAUAAAAAAAAAAAAAAGAAAAGGCACAAAACAACAUCAUAUAUAGUGAAUUGGCGGAAGAUUCAUUUGCUGUGAAAUAUUCAAACUUUCAAUUUGCCGGCCAAAACACUUAGUCAAAUUUUGCUUCUUUUCAUUUCUCUCACAAAAAACACUCUCCACAAACUAACUCUCUGCAAAUUAUCUCUCAGCCAAGUAGGGACGUUAAGACGGAGCUUUUUGUAGAUGGCGCAAGACGAUUGCAGAUGGGUAAAGGAAACCUGGAAAAUAAUAGACCAUCGAGGUACUAAAUGAGACUUUCUUCCACUUUCUUUCCUUUCACUCUUUCUGGCUCCCGUGACCAGUUAAAGUAAGGAAGAAUUAGCCACGGGAACUAUGAAAAGGGUUCCAGACUCUCCUUUCUAAGAGUAUCUCGCCUUUCCUAGCAUGGGGAGCGAUUACAACCAGGAUGUUAGAUGCCAAGAUCUUUUUUUUGCUAAAAAUACAAACAAUUUCUUCUUCUUUUUUGUGUUGCAUUUUCUCCUUCUAUUUUAUGAUCUUUAAGUUUUAUUAAAUUUUAUUGCCCAGAGUUUGACACUCAAAGGUUUUCACCAUAAUUAAUUAUUUUUGAGCUAUGGAUAAUUUCAACCGCAAUAAAUGCUCUCAUAAUUUUCUUCUGAAUUUGAUUACAAUCUUAAUUUUUUAUAUUUUUUCUCAAAUCAGACUUAUGGAUUCAGUUAUAAAGCCAUCAUUUUUUCUUUGAAAUUUUAAAUGUUAUUAUGCUAUUUUGUGUGAGACAACUAAGCCCGACGUAGUUAUUAAGACGCUUCACUUGUAGUCGAAAGGUCAAGGGUUUGAUUUAUCAAAGAGGUAAGUAGAGAAUUAUUAUUGAUCCUCUUUUAAGAACAAGAAAAAAAUGCUACUUUAUGUGAGAUAUGAUUGAUAUAUAUAUUUAUGACAUCAUGAUGACCUUAUGAUAGUUUUGAUUUUUCAUAAUAAUGAACCCUAUGAGUGCCAUUCAAGUGGGAUAGAAGCUCAAAUUGAUGGCAUUUACAAGUGCCAUUAAAAAAGUGAUAUUUUAUAAUAACUUUUCUUAGAUUCAACUUAAUCGCAUUAGAGAACUUCGUUCUCAUGCAACAAUUAUCUAUGCUAAUUACUACAAUUCUGCAAUUUGAUUCUAUUGCUCACCAAAAGAAUUCGGUAUUGCACUAUCUUUUAACUUGCUAAUUUUCUCACAACUCAAAAUAGUACUCAAAAGUUUUAUUUUAGAUACUUUGUCCUCUAGACUUUACUAAUUUAUGUCAUAUCAUCGCCUAAUCCGCACGACCUUCAUGCACCUUUUUUUUUUUUUUUUUUUUUAUAGAAAGAUCAUUUCAUUCAAUAAAUCCGCACUAAUAGUAGAAAAUACAUCAAACAUGACACAAAUACAUAUGGAUUUAAAAUCAAUAGAUACAACAGAUCUAAAAAAUCAAUACAAAUAAAGAUAACAUUGAUGCUCUUAUACAUCUUCUAUCCAGAUGAAUUACCAUAGUACAAUACAUCUAUACAUGUCUUUUGAUAGUCAAAUCCGAUUAACACUGGUUCAAGUUCAAAGAGAAAUUUAAAUCUUAUAAUAAUGGAGAAAUUGCAGAUAUGAGAAACUAAAUUCUAAAUCUAUAAAAUCUAGAUAAAGUUGAAUUAACAUAUGUGCACCUUAAAGUGCAAAGUACAUCUAACGUAAAGUUGAUUCUUGCAACCUCUUGUGGAGCUGGUGGUCCAUAUUAUUGCUAAUCAUCUAUGGGUUGUGGCGACCCACAAACAACUGGUUGUGCUGAUAUCCUUUGGCACAUAUUUGCUGGGACGGUAUGCAUGAGACAGAAGCAGCCAACAGAUUAAUAGUUAAGGCUCUAUUUGAAGGACCAUAUUCAACUCCUCUCAUUGAUUUACACUACAACAAAAUAGGCUAUUAGUGUUAAAAAGAGUUUGUCACUAUCAAUUUAAAUAUCGUCAUUGAAACAAAUCAGCGACAACAAUUCAGUCGUUAUGCUGCCAACACUGAACCAUUGUCAUACAUGGCACCUAUUGAUAUGUUACAAAAAGUUGUCACUAAUUGGUUUUAUAUAAUUACGACCUUUAUUGCAAAAGUCUGUAGUGACUAUUGUUUUUGCCAUUAAAUCAUUGGCUAGGUUGUGACUGUUGUUGACCAAUUGAUCAUCACUACUAGAAAGAGACACUGACAGGAAGUCAUCACUGUGUUUGAAACAGCAUUAAUGAUGACUUGGUCUUGUCCCAUUUGUCCUUAACAAUAAUAGCAAGUGAAAGGUGCUCUGUUGUCACUCCAUGAUAGGGUUCAUUUAGAUGGUAUAUUUUUCUAUAUUUUCUCUUUUUACUUAUAUCAAAUAUUGCUUUACUUGAUCGAUUCUACUCAAAAUUGGUAUUUGGUGUUAAUUUCAGGAAUUGGAACGGAAAGUGCUUAAAAUCAAGAAUUCCUAGUGAUUUGCACGUGGGCCGGAAGAUCGGGAAGAGUUUAGGCAGUUUCCUAGUCCAAAUCAAAUUCCAAACAAUUGACUGCUGAUGAAGAUUUCCUACCUUUUGGGCAGUCCACGUCAUCCUCAAGAAAAAGGAAAGCUUGAAGAACUUGACCUGUAAUAGGAAACCAUCCCUUCAAAUUAGUUAAUUUAUUCCUAGAAAAUAGGGAUGGAGGUAGACAUCAAUUCAUCAUCUUUUCGUGGCUAGAAAGGAAACAACAAAAUUGCUUUUGUUUCUAUUUUCUUCUUGGCCGAUUUUGAGAGGAACAAUUUUUUUAACUUUCGACUAGCUUUUUUCGCAUGGCUUGUUCUUCAUCAAUGGGGAACUAAUUUCAUACUUCUAGUCAAGGGGACAACUAAAGAUUUAGUUCAAUAAUAACGGUGAGAUCUAAAUUAUUUUAAUUGCUUCCUUCAUUCAUUGGUGUUUGUAUGUUUUCUGCUUUCAGUGGUUAUGACUAUUGUGUAUGAUUGAAUAGUUGCGCAAUAUUUAAUUAUUCACGUAAUCUAUUUGCUAAUUGUAGAUAGUUGAAUCCGUAAUUAUUUGAUUACUCUCAUCUCGAUAGCAACUGGCAUAAUUGGGUUUGUGUCAGAAAAACGUACAAUCUAAUUUAAAUAAACCCCCGUAGCGUGUUUAUUGAUUAGAGUAGGGGUUCUCUAGUUUCUAAUGCAAUUGGGGAAUUAAAUUCUAUGGUCGUACUUAGAGUUAUUCCUAAAUUAGGGAAAUAGUCAAUGGUUGUACCUUAAGUAUCGAAACUGUAAGAAGAGACUGACUGUCAGAUCGUAUUGACAGUUAAAAACUUACUUAUUAAUGAAUGUUGGAUUUAUUUGUGAAUCGAUGAUCAGUUGCAUGAACCAUCUCUGAAGUGUAUCCUUGGCUAGAGUCUUCCCAAUUAUUUCUCUCUAUUACUUAUUUUUCGCAGUUGAUUAAUUUAGUUAACAAUUCAUUAGCGUUAAAUUCUCAAACCCCCCAUUUGCCUUGACUUGAAAAGGAACAAAUUUCUCCCAAUCCUUGAGGAUACAACCCUACUUGCCCUAUAUACAAAUAAAAGAUUUUUUGUGAAUAAAUUCAGGUAUAUCGGAUUAAGCAAAUUCUUCAGAACUAGGAUGAAUCAAGUAAUCCAUUGCACAUCUAGAAUCCCUGCUCCAAUACUAGAAUUGACACGAAGCUGCUUUGUUGGCACUUAGGAUUAUUACUAUUAUUGCAUAGGCUCAACACCUGUCACUCCAUUUAUGGCUGACAACCUCAAAGUUGUCAUGCAAUCCCGGUUUUGCAGUGACAACUCGGUUUUUGUCGAUUAUGCAGUUGUGUUUCAGCUAUAUUUGCAUUUUACUAGAAAAACCAAUAAACCAAGUCCAAAUUUAUAGGGACUAACAUGAAACCAUAAAUGUGUACUAAGAAAACUAGCAAUUUAUUAGUGAAUUAACACGAAUCCAUGAACCAAAUUCAUAAAAAAAUCUAUUUCAUCAAAGCAUCCAAAUCGAUUUACAACAUUGAGUUAUUGAUAUUCUAGUUUAGAUAGUUUUUGAAUAGUUGAAAAAAUAUUUUUUUAUGUUUAAAAGAUAAGGUUCAAUUUCACAAACGUUUCUCUUAUUUACAAAUUGUAUCAAACUUUUAUUUCCUGUAAAAUCUAUAAACAGUAAAAGAUAAACACAAAGCAUAAAUGUUACCAAUGACCCCUAAAAUUGGCUAUCAUAUCUGGAUAGAAAUUAACCUUCAACCAAGGUUGAAAUCAGACUGUUCAUUGGCCCAAAAAAAUAAUUGGGUCAAGAAUCAUUGGUUCAACUAUUAGGCUGAACAUACUUGACCCGUGAUGACAUGAAUAUGUCAUAAAUAUUUUUCUUAUAUAUAUUGAUUAUUACAAAUAUGCAAGUAUUUGUAGAUAGUUCACUCUGAUGUAAAAAAUGUUCACUUCAAUCCUUUUUACAUCUUUUAACCAUUGAAACUCAAAAAUAACUUUUUUUUUAAAAACUUUUUUAAGCAAAAAUUAAAGGAGUUAUAUAAAGCAUUUUGUCUAAAUUUUGACUAAUUAAAUACAUAACAGUAUAUAAGAAAGGUAUUAAAGAAAUUAAAGCCAAUAAAAAAACAUAAAAUACAUUAAAGAGUUGCAUAAGUUAUUGUAUUAACUUGAGGGAGGGUUAGGUUGGGUGGUAAGGUGGGAGGGGUUGUAAGUAAGAGAUUUUGGAUUCAAGUCUUCUGGCUUACCAAAAAAAAUUAUUGUAUUAGAUGCAUACAUAUGUUGAGCAAUAAUUAAGACGUAAUAAUAUUCUUUUCAUUUCUCACUUUUAAAACGAAACAAUUCGUCCCUGACAUUUAAAAUUGAAGCUAUUACAUUUCUGAAUCCAACUUUCAAUUUGAAUCGAACCAUCCAGUGACUCAGUAACAAAUUUUGGGGAUAGAAUUGAUACAUAACUUGGUCAACUCCAUCACAUUCACAUGACAUUUAUUGAACCAAAAAAGGGAAAAAAAUUAAAAAUUAUAAUAUAAAAGCCGUUGUUUGUUUUGGUAUAGUAGAGUUUCUUUUUGGAUAAAUGUUUUCAUAUGUAUACCACACGUACAAAAUUUGGUGUUUAAAUUUAAAUUGAAAUGAUGUGACUGGUAUCUAGACCCGUCAGUGUAUAUAAUGACAAUUAUGUACAAGUAUGUAUCUAGACCCAUUAGUGUAUAUAAUAACAAUUAUGUACAAAAAAUUAGUAAGAUUUAAAUGCGGAACAUAACAUUAAUUAACAAAAUUUGAAAGUUUUUUUUGUCUCAAUUUAAAUUGUAUAGUGAACUGGCUGGGUCAUGAAAAACUACUCUAGUUCAACUAUUAAUUGGCUAAACUCGAUAAUUUUUCUGAAUUAGCCUAAAUUGACAAUUUUUGUAAUGCUACUGGGUUUUAGGGGUUGUUCGGUCCGACAUGAAGACUGAUCGACAAUUAAACCGGUCCAAUUGGGUGGUCCGGGUUGAGUUUUAAAACAAUGCCUUAAACAUGCCUGCUAGCUGGUCUUGAACUUUCCCACAUCUGAGAGUGCUGGGAGCUAAUAGAACCGCAGGAUGACGUAAGAGACUUAUUUCAACUUAAAAGAGAGGAAAUCAGAAGAAAAUUUGCAUUAAGGCUUAACUAAAAGAUGCACCUUAACCCUUAAAAAGUACGUGACUCUUUGACUUAGCAGGCACAUCCAAUGGGAUGUGAUGUGAGGAAGGUAAAGAGUCAUACACGUUAGAUCUAAAUUUCUAUACGUAAAAUUCAAGUUAGAUGACUAUAUAAACAUCUAUAUGACAUUCAAACAUCGUAUCUUAAAUUACCCAUCUGCAUAUAAAAGAAUGUAAACUAAAAAAUGAUCUUUUUUUCCUAAAACUCUAUCUGUUGGUAAAUCAAUUUUAAUUAUUAUAAUACUGAAACCAUACACUUUGAGAUACCAUGCAUGUAUUGAGUACCCAAACCAAUUUGGGUUUAGGUCUAGGUUGGGUAUAUAUUCAUUUUUUUCAAACCACUAGGGUGUGGAUUUAGAUUGGGGCCAAAAAAAUUUAGGAGAUAGGAGAUUUGGCUUUGGAUUUACUAGAUCUAACUCAGCGUCGGGCACUAGAUCUUGGCUUCCUACCAUUGUUGGUUGCUCUAAGUCUGAAGUUUUUUCAUCAGUAAAAGAGAGAAUCUUGUAGAAGAUACAAGGAUGGAAUGAACAAUGACUCUCAAAGGCAGGUAAGGAAAUCAUGAUCAAGGCUGUUUUCUAGGCCAUUCCAACAUACUCAAUGUCUUGUUUCAAGUAUCCGGAUUCCUUGCUUUCAGAUACCCAAUCUAUGAUGAGUAACUUUUGAUGGAGUGAUGGUAUAGAGCAGAAACCAAUUCAUUGGAUAAGUUAGGAUAGAAUGUGUUUGUCCAAAAACAAAGGUGGCAUAGGCUUCAAACAACUUAAGGCUUAUAAUUUUACUUUACUAGCUAAACAGGCAUGGCAUAUUGCAACUUAACCAUCUACUCUUCUACAUCAGGUUUUUAAAGCUAAAUAUUUUCCCAGUUCAAACUUUUUUCAUGUCGAGCCGACUUCCAAGCCUUCUUUUACUUGGAGGGGAUUGGCCGAAGUUUGAAAAUAUUUAGUCUCUGGUAGCUGAUGGCGAGUUGGAAAUGAGAAUCAUAUCGAAAUUUGGAAAAAUAGGUGGAUUCCAUGUCCUUCUUCUUUCAAAAUUAUAUCUCGUUUUGAUGCGCUACCAAAUGACUCCACUGUAGAUUGUUUAAUUGAUGAAAAUAGCAAGAAAUGGAAAUAUGAGCUGCUUCAAGAACUUUUCUGGCAAGACGAGAUCGAGCUGAUUAUGAGUUUUCCAUUGGAUGAUAGUCGAAAUCAAAAUAAGCUCAUCUAGCAUUACUCUAAAAAUGGCUCCUUCACAGUGAAAAGUGCCUACCAUCUUGUCAAAACACAAUUCACAAACUGGCAGGAUGUAGCUUCAAGAAGUAAUGGCUUUGUGGAUGAUAUUUGGCCUUGCUUGUGGAAAUUCUACAUACCAAGUAAAGUUAAAAUAUUCUUGUGGCGAAUUUGCAAAGGUGUUCUACCUACAACUUCCAAGUUGAAUAGCCAUGGAGUUUAUCAUGAUCCUACCUACUCUUUAUGUAAGACCCCUGUUGAAGAUGUUAAUCAUAUUUUCUUGUACUGUCCAGUAGCAAUUCAAGCUCGAGCCCUCAUCUUUGUUACACUGAAGAUAAGAUUAGACUCUGCUGAUCAAGUUUCGUCUUGGUUGCCUGGCCUUCUUCGUUUUUCGAAAAAGUCGGACAUGGAAUUGAUAGCCAUAAUUCUUUGGAAUCUAUGGCUUAAUCGAAAUGGUGCAUUACUUGAUGGUUCCUAUUGUGAUCCUCUUAGUUUGGUCUCUCUCUCUCUCUAUCAAUUUCUUACAGAAAUACCAUGAAGCAUACACAUCUCCAAACAUUCCAAUACGCUCUUCUACUACUCAACUUCAUUGGAAAAAACCCCUAUAGGUUUUCUAAAGGCCAACUUUGAUGGUGCAAUAUUCUAUGAAAACGACUACUCUGGAGUUGGAGUUGUUGUAAAGGAUGAAUGGCCAAUUUUGUUGUAGGUAUUUCUCACAAAAAUCUUAGGUAUCUUUUCUCCUAAGAUAAUUGAAGCCUAUGCUGCAAAAUCUGCAAUUUCCUCAUUAUGUAAGUUAAAGGUUCUCAAUAUUAUUUUAGAGGGUGACUCUUUGAAGAUCAUCAACAUGCUUAAAAAUAUGAAAUUUGAUGAUUCAGCUUAUGGGGUGCUAUUAGAUGAUAUCCUUUGACAGGUGUCGAGCCUGCGCAAUAAUAAAUACCUACUCGGAAAAAAUAUAAUUUUCUGUGUAUAGUAGUGAGUAGGGUUGAAUCCACAGAGAUUGGGGGGGGGGAUUUGCUUCUUUUCAAGUUCGGGACACGGGGGAAUUUUAUCGGAAUAAAAAUAAGAACAAUCAAGCAAUUCAACCAAGACAAACAAUUAACUAGUACGAACGUAGAUAGAAAUUAAAUCAAUAAUAGACAAACUCUAGCCAAGGAUACAACUACUCGGACACAGUCUAUUCAUCCAAUCAUUGAUGCAAGGGAGGUUCACUUAAUUUUAUUAACAUGUUAGUUAUAAUUGCCAACAAACUCUGACGGCCAACUUUUCCUUAAUUUAUUGAUAACCAAGGUACGACCGUUGAUUACCCCUAACCAGGAAACACUCCUAGGUACGACCGUAGGAAUUAAUUCCCUGAUUGCAUUAAAAACUAGAAAAACCUAACCCCACUAAUAACACGCUACAAGGGUUAUUUAAAUCAGAUUGUACGUUCCCCUAGUGUGUGAAAAUGCUAGUUGCCACUGAUAGUAACCGAUUAAAUAAUUACGGAUUUAAUUGAUUAAUUUGGCAGGAGAUUAGUAAGUCACAUUGAACAUCGGGCCCUUGAUAUCCAAUUAGCAAAAUAAUCCCAUGGAAAUUCAAAUAGAAACAGUGCAAAUAUUAACAAAUUAAAGAAUAUACGAAAACUAAUUCGAUCUCACAGAUAUUCGGGACUGCGUCGUCUCGUUGAUUCUUAACUAGAUGGAAAACUUAGCCACGCCUCAUGAGACAAUUUCCACACAAUUUAAUUGAUUUCGAAGGCAUCAUCUUUUUCACUAAUAGUCUCCAAGAAUAAUAAUACUGUGUUCCAGCGGUCUCAAUAGAAGGAAACAAAAGAAAAACAUAAAAUAAAGAAAAAGCAAGGAUGGGACAAAGCCCAAAAGAUCCAGCUGUUUUUCAUAAGAAGAAUUCCUCCUUUUAAACAAGAAAACCUCCGACCCCUUGUUUCCUAAUUUCUAUGGACUAAUUGCAAAGAGUCCUAUUUCUUUUUGGUUUCCUCUGCCAAUGCAACAAAUGGCUAUCAAAAUAGGAAACCUUUGUCCUCCAAUUGGAAUUGGCUUGUAACUCUUUGCGUAUUUGCACAUCUCAUUCUUCACUUUUCAGGAUUUUGUACUCUACCCCUGCAACUAUGUCCAAAUGCCAAUUAUAAGUAGAAUCUAACAAUUAACAAAAUAUUUGGCGCAAAUAAUGAGGAAAAUUAAUCAGAAAAUGACUAACAAUUAAUACCCUAUCAAUCUUUCCACACCUAAAUCAUGCUUGUCCUCAAGCAUGGGAACAACUAAACUCAAACAAUGGGUUGCUCUCACGUCAUCUAUUGCCAAACUGUGCUUACACCAAAAUCAAGAUUAAGUGGCUAAGUGUCAAGACAUAGUCCUCCCGAUUAGCUCCUGAAAUCACAAACUCAUCUAAUUCAUGGCUAACUCAUCUAGGAAAUCAAAAUAUUAAACUAGCAACAGUCAGCAAUUGGUUCAACUGGCAACCAAAAUCUUAACAUUGAAGAACAAGGAUCGGUAGGCCAACAUGAUGAUAUGGUUACAUAUUUUUCACAUCUGUUUUUUUUUUCUCUUUUUUUUUUCUUUUUUUUUUUAAUGAAUAGAGGCUUAGUUCCAAGCCAUUCAAGUCUUUUGACGUGAAUUCUGACAUUUUUAGAUGAAAGACCCUAGUUACUCAACUUUUCACAACUUCAGGACUACCUACUCAUAGAUAUCAACACUUUUGACGCGAGAGUCGACGCUGGUGGUAAAGGCUUCCUGUUAUUGUGUGACGACACUAGCGGAGUAUAGCCAUUUGUUAUUCACAACAAAACACCAAAAUACCAGACAAUUAAAUAUCAUGGCUCACGUCAUCUCAUAAACAUGGAGAACUAAGGUCAACAGGGGACCAAUGCACACAACAGUGGCUAGCAAAAUAUUUACAUUGCCUAAACAAGUUAGCCACAAUUUGUACCAAGUCAUUAAACUUAAAAUAUUCACCAACACAACAUGCUCUUACUUGCCACCGAAACUAAAUUUAUAGAAUAAACUACAGCUUGCAAUAGAAGAGUGAGUCGCCAGGCAAUUGUUGAUCACCAGGAUAAGUAAUAAGAAAAAUAGAAAAUUAACGAGAUACCAGUCAAACCCCCCUAAACCUGAAUCACACAUUGCCCUCAAUGUAGAAAAUAAACAGAAGAAGCAAGAAGAAGGGCAACAGGGCUUCCCUGAAGUCACGGGGGUCGAGGCGGGGUCAUAGCGAUGGGUGAGGUGCAAAGGGAGAUGGAAAACCCGCGUGGUGCAUAAACACUGUCAAAUUCUGCAUAAACGCUGACAAAACUUGCCCACCCCAAAUCUCAACGAAUGUCUCCAUUAGGACAGUCAAUUACACAAUUUAGCCAACUGAAAUUAGCAAAUGUCCCAAGAAACUGACAAUUCUAGCAACAGCAGUUCAAAAUGUGGACAACAGCUUAAUCACAAGAUUUUUAGCUUUCAAUCAGGCAGCCAACCAAAUAGAAUCAAUAAAUGUAGUCAAAGUACCCCAACCAGUACCACUGGUGCACCCCACAGAUAAUGAAGCAACUCAAACGGUCAACCCAGUCAACAGAAUGCACAAAGUAGUCACCCAAGUUCUAGACAAAUAUCCCAACAAUACAGCAAUAUCAAUCAAUACUCACUGGUGGUUCCAAUUGAGUCAAAUGCAGGAACAAUGCAAUCCAAAAGCGCAACAAAUGCUCCAAAGACUUAGCAAUUGAAAUCAAUAGGCAGAAUACUUCCAGCAAGUCAAUUAGACGCAACCAACAGUAAUAAGCAAUGGAAAUGGCACAGCAGCCUUCCAAUUCAACAAGCAAACGCAAAAAUUACCCAACCAAAGGCACGUCAAUGGACUCAAGACAGAAAUAAGCAAAAUAGAACUCAAGUGAUACCAAAAAAGACCCCAACAAUGCAGUGAAUUCAACCAAUUUGAGCAAGUAAAAUACGGUCAGAAGUGCCUUCCAAAUAUCAACAGGGAGCGACAAAACGUGCCCACCCAAAAUCUCUCCAAAUGUCUCCAAUUGGACAAGAACAACUCAGUCACCGAUGCCCAGCAGUCAAUUAGGCAGCGAAUCACAUAGGAUUAAUGAAUUAUAUGCAAACUACUACAACAAGUACCACUGGUGCAUGCACAGAUAAUAGAAUAACCCAAACGGCCAACUCAAACCAUUGAGAAAUACAAACAACAUUAAAUAGUACCCCAAGAGCCCACUCAAUUGACAAUUACAUCAAACUAGGCAAAUCAUGUUCAGGACAUAACCCAACACACUGGUCCAGUAUCACAAAUGUAAGCGAACAAAUUUACGCUCUUGAAAUCACAAUCAUCUAGAUUCCAUCAAAAUCAAUAAAUCAAAAUAUCACAAUAAAUCAAAAUAUCAGAUACCAAAAAAUUAAGAAAGAAAAACCUGGCACUAGGGAGGCUAGGCUACCGACGGCGGCAAUGGGUUGUGCGUCGCGCAUGGUGGAGGUGGAUGGUCACGAGGAAGAGGCGGUGCGGGCUGGCGGUGCAAGAGGGAGAUUGUUGUUGCGGAGAGUGACGAGGGGAGAGUGAUGGCAGUCGCUCGUCUGCAGCAGGAGAAAGCAGCAUCACGCUGCUAUCGCGCAAGAGGGAGAGAGUUGCGAGGGAGGCGCGGCUGCUGAAGAAGAAGGCUGGCGGUGGCGUGCGCGGUUGAGCAGAUGGCUCGCGGUGGAGGGAGCCAAGGGCGGCGACUCUCGAUGGCGCGUCGACUGCGUCGCGUUGUGGUCGUCGCUAGUUAGAGCACUGAUGGUUGGCAUGGCCGUGCGUGUGAGGUGGCAGCGGCGUGGGUCAGCGUGCGCCAGGGUGGCGGUCGCGCGAUGGAGAUGGAGGUUUGUGGUGGUGGCGUGGGCAGGGGCGGCGGACAAAGAGAAAGAAAAGGGAAUUGGGAAAGAAGAAAGAAAGCAAAAGGGAAGAAGGAAAGAAAAAAAGACAAAAAGAAAGGAAGAAAAAGAAAAAAAUAGUUUUUUUAAAAUUUUUUUUAGAAUUGAAUUGAAAUUUUAAAAUUUGAAUUUUGAAUAAAAAAACUGAAGGUGAAAACGAAAAAUAUUUUUAUUUUUAAAUUUUUUUAAGAAAUUUUUUUCUUUUGUUUUUGGGUCAUUAAACACGGCGUGUGUACGCCAAGAUUGGAAAACGUCUACUGAUCUUGAGAGUCACUUUUUGCACUUUAACACGUGUCCUCCUCGCGUGGGCACGCCAAGAUUCCACUUCCUGCUGACGUCGCGAGAUAUUGAGAUCUUACCAACAUGGCGUGGGCACGCCAUGUUUUACAAACGUCCACUGAUCUUGAAUAUAUAAACUUGUAAGAUUAACGUGUACCCUCCUCACGUGGGCACGUUAAGUUUCCCUGUCCUGGCCACAGUUGAGAAAAACAUCAAGUGCAAUCAGUAUCCAAGUGAGAAACGACGAAUUGAAAGAAUUGAACAACAAAAAAUAACAAAACCAAUAUUUGGGUUGCCUCCCAAAAAGUACAUUUUUUUAUCGUCUUUGGCUAGACGUUAAACAACACUCUUUAAUUUGGAUGUAAUUCAAAUUUUCUUGUAAUCUGUGGCCUUUCUCCGGGAUCCAAAUAGCUAUUGAAUGCAAUCUUUUUCCUUAAUUUUCUACUCAUUUUCACCUCAUGAAUUGCUUUCAUCCCAUGAUACUUAUUCGCAGCAACUUUGAAUUUACCCCUACAAGCAAACUUAGAAAAUUCUUGCACAGAAAGAUUAGUAGCACGAAUAGUGAACACAGAGUGAGAGUUAAUAGGAUAUUUCAUUGUAUCAAAAAUAUUAAAGUGGACUGUUUCUCUAUCAAAUUUCAUUGUGAGAGUACCCUUACUAAUAUCAAUCUUAGUUUGGGCAGUACUUAAGAAUGGGUGAUGGAUUUGGGGCACUUUCAUCAUCCAUGUAAAGUACAUAAAAAUCAGUAGAAAAAAUUAAUCCAUCUACUUGCACUAAAACAUCCUCAACUACCCCAUCCGGAUAAGCAAAUGCACGAUCAGUCAAUUGAAUUAUUAUCUCUGUUUCUUUUAAAGAUCCUAAAUUUAGAGAAUCAUAAAUUGAUUUAGGCAUCACAUUAAUUGAAACCCCUAAAUCUAGCAUGGCAUUUUUAAUCUUAGAAUGUCCAAUCUUACAGGGAAUAGUAAACAUAUUUGGAUCUCCGCAUUUAGGUGGUAGUUUUCUUUGUAAAAUCGUUGAAACGUUCUCACCUACCACAAUAUGCUCAUCCCCCCUCAACUUCUUCUUGUUGAUGCACAAGUUUUUCAAGCAUUUAGCGUAUUUUGGCACUUGCUUGAUCGCGUCCAACAAAGGGAUAUUAAUUGCCAUUUUUCGAAACAUCACUAGAAUCUCCUUUUGCUUAUCUUGUUUUUUCGGUUUCUCCAACCUGUUAGGAAAAGGAGGUGGGUUAGUCUUAACUGUAAUGAAUGAGCCCGGGAGUAUCUUUAGAUCCUUAUUGUCUCUACCCUCUUCUUCAAGCUCUUUCUCAAUUCGUUCCUCGUCCUUUUCCUUAAAAAUCACGAGCUCGGAUCCUUGGAUUCUCUUUUCACUCCUCAAGGUCAUUGCGUUCACAUUAUUCAGGUUCAGUUCAGGUUGAGACGGCAAUUUUUCAUAAACUUGGGAUUCCAGGCGAUUGAUUGCUAUUGCCAUCUAACUCAUCUGAUUCUGUAUUACUUGCACCUGUCCCAAUUGAUUCCUCAUACUUUGUAGGUCAGAAUCCGUUUUUUGUUGAUUAGUAAUCAAUUGCUUCAUCAUCUCUUCUAUAGACAAACUUGAGUUUGAAGGGGGUGGUGGCGGGCGAACUUGAUAAUGUUGUUGAUACUCUUGCUGUCUAUUUUGUGCAAAAUUUGACUACGUAUUUUCUCCAUAGCUGAAGUUAGGGUGAUCUUUCCAACCUGAAUUGUACGUAUUCGAAUACGGGUCAUAUGGCUUUCUUGACGCGGGCACGUGACCGGCCAUGUUCACUUGCUCCGCACUUUCUUCUUGAAUCAUUAGGCACAUCUCUAUAGAAUGAUCCAUAUCAGUGCAAAUCCCACACACCUUGGCCUGUGAUGCAUUCCUUACAACCAGUUGGCUACCAAAAGAUGUUAACCCAGUCAACUGCUAUUGGAUAGAAGAUAUCUCUACCUCAUUCACCUUGCGUGUUGGGAUAUCUUCCCUCGUACCAAACUGCUACGAAUUCUCAGCCAUUCCUUCAAUUAACUCCCAUCCUUCUCGAGGGGUCUUGUUCACCAGUGCCCCUCCACUCGCAGUAUCAAUUAUACUUCUAUCUCUGAAGAGUAAGCCCUUAUAGAAAUAUUAAAUGAGCAGUUGCUCACUUAUCUGGUGCUGAGGGCAUUUGGUGCAUAACUUUUUGAACCUCUCCCAGUACUCAUAGAGAGACUUGCCUGGGUGUUGUUUGAUGCUGCAUAUUUCUUUCCUUAAGCUGGCGGCCCGAGACGCAGGAAAAUAUUUUUCUAGAAAUUUUUUCUUCAGUUAGUCCCACAUGAUGAUACUACCUGGUGGUAGGUAGUACAGCCAGUCCUUCGCGAAAUCCUUCAAAGAGAAGGGGAAUGCCCUCAUUUUUAUCUGUUUUUCUGUAAUUCUCGGGGGUUUCAUGCUGUUGCAAAUGACAUCAAACUCUUGCAAAUGCUUAUACGGCUCCUCACCUAAUAAACCAUGGAAAAAUGGUAAGAGAUGAAUUAGACCAGAUUUCAAGUCAAAUGGAGUGUUAUCAUUUAAAUGUGGAAAAGUAAUACACAAAAGUUGCCGAUUUAAAUCAGGAGCAGCCAAUUCUCUUAGUGUUCGUGCAUUAGCCAUAGCGGUUUUUUUUCGAUUCGAAUCACUCGAAGAAUCACUAAACAAAUCUAUUGGUUCAAAUUUUGGCUCAGGUCUCUAAGAUGCAGCACUGGAUUGCUUUUUUCUAAGUUGUCUGGUAUCUUUUCUUGUUCUACGCGCGGUCUUCUCUCUCUCGGGGUCAAAAAUUAUUUCACCUGUAAGAGGAAAAUGAGGCAUACACUCAGAAAGUACCAGAAAAUUAAAGCAAAAAUGAACUUAAAAAGAAACAAAUACUUAACGUCAGUCCCUGGCAACGGCGCCAAAAAUUGAUAGGUAUCGAGCCUGCGCAAUAAUAAAUACCUACUCAGCGAAUAUACAAUUUUUGUGUAUAGUAGUGAGUAGGGUCGAAUCCACAGAGAUUGGGGGAGAUUUACUUCUUUUCAAGUUCGGGACACGAAGGAUUUUUAUCAGAAUAAAAAUAAGAACAAUCAAGCAAUUCAACCAAGACAAACAAUUAACUAGUACGAACGUAGAUAGUAAUUAAAUCAAUAAUAGACAAACUCUAGCCAAGGAUACAACUAUUCGGACACAGUCCAUUCAUCAGAUCAUUGAUGCAAGGGAGGUUCACUUAAUUUUAUUAUCAGGUUAGUUAUAGUCGCCAACAAGCUCUGACAGCCAGUUUUUCCUUAAUUUAUUGAUAACCAAGGUAUAGUCGUUAAUUACCCCUAAUCAGAAAACACUCCUAGGUACGAACAUAGGAAUUAAUUCCCCAAUUGCAUUAAAAACUAGAAAAACCUAACCCCAAUAAUAACACAUUACGAGUGUUAUUUAAAUUAGAUUGCAUGUUCCCCUAGUGUGUGAAAAUGCUAGUUGCCACUAAUAGUAACCAAUUAAACAAUUACGAAUUUAAUUGAUUAAUUUGACAGGAGAUUAAUAAGUCACAUUGAACAUUGGGCCCUUGAUCCAAUUAAUAAAAUAAUCCCAUGAAAAUUCAAAUAGAAAACGUGCAAAUAUUAACAAAUUAAGGAACAUCUGAAAACUAAUUCGAUCUCACAGAUAUUCGGGACUGCAUCGUCGCGUUGAUUCUUGACUAGAUAGAAAACUUAGCCAUGCCUCAUGAGACAAUUUUCACGCAAUUCAAUUGAUUUCGAAGGCAUCAUCUUUUUCAGUAAUAAUCUCCAAGAAUAAUAAUACUAUGUUCUAGAGGUCUCAAUAGAAGGAAACGAAAGAAAAACAUAAAACUAAGAAAACGCAGGAAUGGGGCAAAGCCUAAAAGACCCAGCUGUUUUUCAUAAGAAGAAUUCCUCCUUUUAAACAAGAAAACCUCCGACCCCUUGUUUCCUAAUUUCCAGGGACUAAUUGCAAAGAGUCCUAUUUCUUUUUGGUUUCCUCUGCCAUUGCAAGAAACGGCUAUCAAAAUAGGAAACCUUUGUCCUCCAAUUGGAAUCGGCUUGCAACUCUUUCCGUGUUUGCACAUCUCAUUCUUCACUUUUCAGGAUUUUGUACUCUACCCCUGCAAUUAUGUCCAAAUGUCAAUUAUAAGUAGAAUCCAACAAUUAACAAAAUAUUUGGCGCAAAUAAUGAGAGAAAUCAAUCAGAAAAUGACUAACAAUUAACACCCUAUCAUCCUUAUUAGUUUACAAAAUUUUGUCACUUGGGAGGCUAAUUAGAGUCCUAAGAAUCUAUAUAUUUGCCUACUUAUUUAUUAGUUAGGAAUGUUAGAUCUAUUUCAAAUAUUUGUAGUUGGAGAUAUUCUCCAUCAUCUUUUUCUUUCUUCCACAAUUAUUGCGAAUCUAUCUUCACUUUAAUAAAAUUUUCCAAUUUUUUCUAUCAGAAAAACUUAACGUCGGGUUCUACCCUAUUGACAUGCUAUAAAGUGAUGUAUUUUUCAAAGGAUAAAAUUGUAUUCACCUAAUAGAACUUUUAAUAAAAGUGCUUAUUAAGUAAUUAAGUAUUUUUAAGUAUAUUGUUUGAAUACAUAGUUCAAUAAGCACUUAUUAUAUUCGAUAUGUGUAAUUUGAAUUUUUAAAAUAUAUUUAUCUCUUUAUUUAGUUCAUAAUAUAGGAUAAAAUGAUUAAAUUUAAUAUUUUAUUUUUAAAAAUACAAAAAAUAUUUUAAAAGCACUAAAUUUGAGCUUUUACUAAAAGUACUUUUAAUACCAAAAUCUCCGCUCCUGAAUUUUAUAAAUUGAUAUUCACCAAAUGCCUCAAAAUGUACCUUUAGCAUCCAAAAGCACUUUUUAACCAAAACCACCGCAACCUCAAACUGGCCCAAAAGAAGAAUCUUUUAAUCGGGCACACUUUAUUGUAUCCAUUUGCAUUAUUUGCUUUUGCUCUUGUAAGAACCAUCAAAGCGGAGCUGCAAGGGAAAUAAUACCUAGCAACUGAUGGAUUCCAAAGCAUUUGCUUCUUGUAUUCUCCUCCUUCUUCUGUUAAUUGCUCUAGUAAAUUACUUUGCCAUUAAUUGUUUUUUGUGAUAUAUAUGUCAUGGACUUGAUUCUCACUAUCCUACAACAAUAUACAACCUUUACAGGGAGCUUGUGAUAUUAUAACCAAGGAUAGUACUAAUGCAAUCAGGCUUCAGGGCAUAGAUGUUAAUAAUCGUCAUCGAAAUGAUAAGAGACAUGAUAUUGCUCACGGCCACGAAAAGAAUUCAAUGCAUGAUCCUUCUCAUUCCUCAUCCCACAUGAUGCAUCAAACGGAUCCAAGAACAACCGUGUUUUUCGUUUUAGAUGAUCUCAAGUCAGGCAAAAGAAUAAGUAUCUUUUUCCCCAACGGAAAUCCUAGUCCCCUAUCCUCUCCUUAUCUCUAGCCUAGAGAACAAGCCGAUGCUAUCCCCUUUUCAUUGGCAAAACUCCCACAAAUUCUUCAACACUUUUCAUUCCCUCAAGGAUCUCGCAAGGCCCAAGUGAUGGAACAUACACCC
rnacentral:lncRNA from 1 species